UUGAGUUAGAGGCAUAACUGCCUUUGCUUCUUCAUAAAGCUAUGCUGGUAAUUAAGGCUAUCAAAAUUAAAUAAUAGUGUGCUGCCUGCUGCUGCAUUACCUGUACUACUGUUAUGGUAAUAAGUUUUGAUAGCCAGUACAACCAUUAGAAAGUGUGUAGGCCUUCACAAUCAUGUCAGUGCCAUGUGUGUAUACAUGGUUGACUGUUUGUAUAAUACUAUGGAAAAAUAAAACAGAAUGGCCUUUACUAUUUUAUCUUUUGACUCAAUUUAUACUCUAUGUUUUCUCCAACUUCUGCGUCCAUCCAUCAAAUCAUCAAACGACAAACCAGGAACCAUAACAUAGUAAAUCGGACAACAAAUAAACCCCCAACAACAAACCAUGUUUCCAACAGCAGAAUAAAACAUAACUAGCAUCCCAGCAACUCAAUACAUAACCAGUAGCAGCAACUGCCACCAAGUUUUAAAACAUGCUGGAUUGGUAAAAGUCAGCAAUGGUCAAGCCAUCGGUUACACAUUCUACCUGAAGCUUUGACAAUACAGACAUCACCAAUAGCUUAAACCAAAUCAUCAAUGUCAACACAACUUUCUUGUAGAAUCCAUGGCCAAUGGAGCUAAUUUAAAUUCCGUAACUGUGUAUGCAAUCAAUGUUGGGUGGGAAUGCAAUCUAAUUCAAAUAAAUCUUACUUGAGUGUGUUUGUUGGAUAAAAUUAGGUCUCUCUCGUUUGUAACUCUAUCGGUAAGUUAAAUUCUAAACGUGAAUUUGUAGGGUUGUUCAUUGAUAAGGAGAUUAAUUUCAACAGCUUUCUCUUGGUUAUCAAUAAAUUAAGUAGAGACUGAUUGCUAGGCACGACAUUGGCAACUUUAACUAAUCUAUUAAAAAACAAUAAAAUUAUCUUUGCAUCGAUGAUUAAACUUGUGAAUCAAACGGAUAUUUUACAAUUGGCUAGAGCUCCAUUUGAUUGGUAUUUCUUCAAUUUUUAUUAUUACCUUCUUGGUUAAGAUUUAAAUUUAAAUUUAGUUUUUUAUUUUCUAAAAUCUCCAUCAUAUUUACUUUCCUUGUUUUUGUUUUAAAAAAUAAAGUUAAUAUCAAUCUCUAUGAAUACUACUCUACUUAAUACUAUGUACUAAAUUUAUAUUUUUUAGUAGGAUUUUAUUUUUAUAAGUCUCCACAAUUGUACAAAUUUUAGCCUUUUUAUCAUAUAUUAAUGUUAAUAAUUUUAUCUCUUUCUUGUUUUUAAUUUAAUUUAAUUUUUGUUCCUUUUUAUGUUUUGGUCUUUCUUUCUUUUUUCUGUCAUAAAAUAUAUUUAUUAAAAUUAAAAUUUUGAUCUUCUUGUGUAGGUGAAAUAGUACAAUCUUGAGUUAGAGAGAACUGCUCGAAGACUAAGGAAGAGAGUUCAAGCGAGAACUAACCCACCGUCUUCAUUACCCAACUAGUUACAUAGAACAACUCAGUCGAUUCAUCUACCGAAUCAAAAGGAGAAGAACCAAUUUCUCUCUUAAAAAAUUCUGAAGCAACAACUGGUAUGCAUUGAGUAUCUUAGAUUAGAGGUAUCUUUUGAAUCAUCUAUUGCCUACUUUUUGUGGUCAAGAAAACGAAGAUCCUCAUAAGCACUUGAAGGACUUCCAUGUAGUGUAGUUUGUUCUACUAUGAGACGACAAUGUGUGAUCAAAGAACAAACCAAACUAAGAGCCUUCCCGUUUUCACUAGCCAACAAGGUGAAGGAUUGGCUAUGUUAUCUACCUCCUGGAUUGACAUGAUAAGAUUAUUUUCGGAUUUUUUUUACGUCAUGUGCUACUUCUACUAGGAAAAAGUUACAGCAUCAAGCAAAACGGCAUGGAGACUCCACGAGUAUUGGGAGAGACUUAAGCAAUUAUGUGCUAGUUGCUCCCAUCAUAGAAUUUUGGAACAAUUAUUCAUCCAAUAUUUUUAUGAAUUACUCCUACCCAUGGAAAUAAAUAUGAUGGAUGUUGUCAACGAAGGUGUCAUAGUGAAUAAAACUCCUCAUGAGAUCAGAAAGUUAAUUUCGAUCAUGGCUGCUAAUUUGCAGUAGAUCAAAUUCAGCUAUGACAAACCGAUAAGAGUAAAUGAGGUAAAUGUCACUUCUCUUUUAAAAUAGAAUUUCUGAACUGACUUCUUUUACUGAUCAGAUGGUUGUAGGAAACUCUCGUCAUGUAAAGGGUUGUGGGAUCCGUGUAUAUUCAAUCCAUAAUCGAGACAGAAUAAGGAGUCACCCACUUGGUUGGAAAUUAGAAAUUCAAUGGGAUAGGAUACUUUAUCCGAUUGGAUCUAACAUUCUGAAGAGAUUAGUAUGUUGUUUUUAUGGCCAUGUUUUCCAGACCAUGAGGCAUUCAACACUUUGAAACACUGCUUAGUUAAUCUAUACCAUACUUAUGUGUUUUAAUGAUGAGUUGGUGUGAUGGAUUAUUACUUCAGUUUUAAAAUUAUUAAAAAAUUCUUUUAUAUACUAAUUAAAUUAUAUUUUUGUAAUAAUAUUUUUUUAUUAUCUUUUUUACAUAUAAUAAAUCAAUAAAAAUUUGAUCAUAAAGAUAUUUGAAUUCAAAAUAUCAUGCAUAGAUAUUGCCAUCCCAUUUUUUUUAAACAAUUCAUCAAAUUUCAACUAAAAUUGCAUAUCAAUUUUCAAUUGAUUAGAUAUUAAUUUUUUUUAAAAAUUAAAUAAUGUUAAUUUUCAAUUGAUUGAAUUUUUUCAACACUUUCUCAAACAGGCAUAAGUUUAUAUAUAAAAUUUAGCACAAAUACCAACAGCUGGUAGCGCCCGCCCACGAGUCGUAGAAGUAAUCGGAUGCGCUAAUGGUUGAGUGAUACCCAAAACAAACUGAGCCUUCAACCUUUGCCUAUGAAAUUUGUCAGCAAAAUCGACAUCAUGUUGCGAGGAAAACACCUCACCCUUCCAAAAAAAAAACAAGUUAUGAUGGAACCAAAUGCUCCACAAAAUAGUAAGAGUCCAACAAACUCUAUUAACAUCAACUGACUCAAGCAAAGUGCGAAUAAAAUGGAGAACAUCAAAAUGCGGAUGUGGGAGUCCAGAAUAUUACCAAACCACCCGAGUGAGCGCACAAGAAUUAAAAACGUGAUCAAGCGUUUCCAACUCUCCACGUCGGAUACAAAUAGAAGGCACAUUUAAUCCUUUAACAAUUAACAUUGCCUUGGUAGGAAUAAAGUUUCUGAGACACCUCCGAUGGGAAAUGGCCAUUCCAAAUCUUCAAUCAAGGACCACCGGCUUCAUUCGAAACAGAAUUGGAAUACAAAUCAGAGGCUAACUUGCAUCCUGAUUUUAUUGAAUAUGAUCCAUUACUAGACCAACGCCAAAUCAUCUUAUCCAAUCCUUUAUGCAGAGCUAUCGGGAUCUUAUAAAUGCAACUACAAUCAACUUAUCUCAGACAUCAUCGGUAUCACUAAGUAAAUCGCACACCUUCUAAUGUUCCAUACCCAGCAAAGGAAUAGAAUCAAUAUAGAAAUUAUAUAUAUUCAGGUCAGGUUGGGCUCGGGCUUAAAAACUCUACUCAAGGCCCGAACGGGCCUAUACAUUUUUUCAAGCCCAUUUUUUUAGCUUUAUCUACUUGUCCAAACCCUCUCAUAUUUCGAGCAAGCUUUCAAGUUCAGAGGGGUAACUUGACACUUAGACAACUCUAAAUUAAAGCAUAGUAAACAAUUAACUUUACAUUUAUAAUAAAAAAUACCAAUUGAUUUUUAUGUGAAUUUUUAAUAAAUAUAUUUUUAAAUAACUUUAUUUUUCAUUUAUAUUAUAAAUAUAAGUGUAUCAUAAAUCUCGUAUUUAUUAAACAUCUCACUUUAAUAAAUAAGUAAGGAUGCUAACAAACAUAUUCCUCUAUAAUGGAUCAGGGAGCUGAAUAUAUGCUUUAAAAGAUGGUGACAAUUAGCAUGUAUACACACACACACGCAUGUAUACAUUUCAAUUAGCCAGGUAAAAGGCAAAAUCAAGCACAUGCACAUGAUAAUGAUGAAUGAAGGCACUUGCAUAUUCCCUUUUUUUCCUAAGAAAAACAAAAAGGAAAUUAACAUGCAUAUAUUCAUUUGGUGAGAAUAUAUAUUUGGAAGGCAAAUCCUUUUAUCUGCUCACCUUAUUUUGGAAUUAUGAAGUUUAAAGUGGAUGCAACCACAAAAGAGAUGUCUAGAUCGAUUAGGAAUAUAAUAUCAAAUAUUCUGAAAGAAAAAGAAAUUUUUUUAAGCGUAACAAGUAUAAUAUAGUUACAAAUAUAAAUAAUCAUAAAUCGAUCGUUCUAAUAUAAUCGAGAUUAACAUUAAAUUAAGAUUAAUUAAAUUAAAACUCAAAAACCUUACGUAAAUAUUUAUGCAUAGUAAGUCUUAAACUGAAGUACUUACGAUCCAAGAAAUCCAUUUUUGUCAACUGAACUAAAAUCUCAUUUGAUUGAAUUUUAAAUAUUUGGUUAUUCUUUAAAAAUAGUAAAAUAAAAAUUUUUCAAAAAGUAAAAAAAAAAAAUUAAAUCUAGUAAUGUCAUUAAUAUUAUACAUGCUAAAUUGCAUGUACACAAUUUUUUUAAAAAUUAAAAAUUACAUAAAAUACGAUACGUUAGAAAGAGUAAUUUGAUAUUAAAAGAAAUUCAAACGCUAAUUUAAUACGAAAUAUAAUUUCUAAAAACUCUUUAGCACGAAAAUUUAAUAUCCUUAGUAAUUGGGUUCGGUUAAAUAAAGAUGGUUCAAUCAAAAUCGAAGAAAGUUUCAUUGUGGCUAGAGGAUUAGUGAGUAACCAUAAUAGGGGUGGAUAAUUGGUUUCGACAAAUACUUUGGAAAUUGUACAGUUUCAAAGGCUGAAUUAUGGGGUGUAUUUGAUGGUCUAAAACUUAUUAGAGAUCAAAGCUUUGAUAGAGUUUACCUUGAAGCUGUUAACACAAUUCAGGAAAGUUCCUUCGGAGACUCAAAUUCCACUUUAGUUAAAAGAAUUCAUUAGCUCUUAAGAAGGAUAAAACAUUGGAGGAUUCAACAUAUCCUUCGAAAAGAGAAUUUAAUUGUGGAUAGAAGAACAGUGUAAUAUACGAAAAAUCCUCUUUUGGAGAAGCUAGUUUAAUUUAGUUUUUUUUCUUUUUGCUUUAUUUUACAAAAAAAGAAAUUGAUGUUAAAAUUUUAUUUUAUAUUUUUCUCCAAGAUACAAUUUUCAUCUAUAUUUUUUUUUCAAUCAUCCACGUAAUAAAUGUGACGUAAUCUAACAUGAUUUUAACUUAAAGAGUAUCUUAUGCUUUCGUGACUAUGUUAAGUGGCUUUUGGAAAUUCAAGAUUCCACCAGUUCUUAUUUAAUAACUAUUAAUGUUGUCCGAAAAUGAUUUUUAAAAAAUAAAUUGAUUUUAAAAAAAUUGAUAGAUUUUAUUGUUUGGAUAAUUUUUUGUAAAAUAUUUUUCGUUAUUUGAAAAAUAUUUUUGAAAUCAUUUUAUAAAAAUUGUUCUUCAUGAACAAGCAUAGCAUAAAUAUAUUUGUUGCAAAAUAUUAUAAUACAAUUUCCUUUUGACAAUUUAAUUUAAUUUUAUAAUAAGAUGAUACUUUGUAAUAAUCAAUAUCAUAUAUAAACUUGAUAAUAAAUAAUGCCUAAUUAAAAUUUAAUUUACUUUACAUAUAUUCUAUAUAUGAGAUAAAUUAAACUAAACAUUAUUUAAACAAAUACUCAUAUUUCAAAUUUUAUAUUAAGUUACAAAAUUUCAUAAGUCCUUGUAUUCUUUGUAAAUUUUAAAUUUAGUCCCUAUAUUUCUAUUUUUGAAAAUUUGAUCAUAAUUAUAUUUAAACUCAAAACAUCAUGCAUAGAGCUGUUGUAACGCCCCAAAAUCUUAAACUUUCGAUUUAUUAAAUUUUAUUAUUAGUCAAUAUUUGCUUCAGUGGUUAAUGGUCUUUAGUGUGGCUUGGAGAUCACUAGUUUGAAUUUUUGCGUGGGUGUGGGGUGAUUUUAUUUUGUUAAACGACUUUGAGUGCUGUUUAGUGAACGGAGUUUAUGUUAAGAGUUGAACUCAACCUGUAAGGCUGUUUGGAUUGAGGGUUUGUUUUGAAAAGAUUUAGCUAAUUUAUUUAUUAUUUUAUUUUGUUUUGUUUCAAAACUACCCACUUUACUCACGUUACCUAUCUUUCUCCCCAAUUUUGUUUCAUACAUUUUUCUUUUCUUCCUUUUUCUUUCAAGCUACUAUGUUUUUGACGUUCUUGCUGAUUUUCUUUUACCCAAAUAUUUCGUCUUUGAUUUUGAUUCUUCUUUUUAUUUUAUUGAUUGCCAAGCUGAGGUUGCUUAUAAUCUCUGUUUUUUUCAUUUCUUUUUCUAUUAUUUCUCCCUGGUAUGAUUUAGUGACGUUGGGUAAGUUUUAAUGCUAUUCUUGGAUUUAUAAUUUUUGGGGGCUUGGUUCUUUUGAUGUUUGUUGUGAAGGUUUAGUUUGGAAAUUUGAUUUUAUGUGAGUUAUGUUUAGGUGAGGAUUGUGUGAUGGUGGGUUCUUCGACGAAUUGGAUUCGCUCAAGUUGUGAUCGAUAGGAGGUGAGUGUUCUGCUAUUAUGGGGUUAGUUCGUAUCGAUUUCUAGAUUCGUUCAUGUAGGAUUUGUUACAUUAAUCGUUUAAGUUGGAGAAAUUAUGUUGUUAAUUUGUAUUAUUUUGUCAAUUUAGGUAUUAGAAUAUUUUUUUUUGGAGUGUGCAUCAGAUUUUUGACCAGGUGUGAGAAACCCAAAAAACAACAAACAACGAAAGCUAAAAAAUUGUAUUGUCGACACCACACGGUUGUGUGGUAGGCCGUAUGUUGGACCGUGUGUGACGCACGGUCUAGGCUAUUUGGGCUGUGUGGACCACAUGAGUGUGUGGGCCAUACUGGCAUGUGUGAGGCCAUUUGGGCUACACAGGCUAGGCCAUUUGGACCAUGUGAGCCCAAAAUUCUAAAUUUUUCUCUAGGGUCGUACACAUCGUUCUGAUCGAUCAUAGGCCUUCUGUGAGGUCGGUAUGUGAUCAAAUAGACUUUAAAGCAUGAAAUCCGGUGAACUGUUAGUAUAAAUUAUGAUAUCUAUUCAUAUAUUUGAGAUGUUAUUUGUUAAAUAAACCUUGUAAUAAGAUAUAAGAAACCCGAGAAAUGCUAUGUAUGUUUUGUAUUUGUUAUGUCAUGCAUGUAUAAAUGUAGCAUUCUGAUUAUGUUUUGUUCUAUAUUUGCAUCUAGGAUGGGUUAUAUUAUGUGGAGGAAGUGUUUUUGUGAAUGGCGAUAAUUUGUCUAUUACACUGGCAACUUAAUUGCAAAUAUUCUGAAAAGUGUCAUAUCGACAGUAAAUGGUGUGUAGGGUUGGAUGGGUAUUUCAGACCAUAUAUGGUGUGUUGGGAUGGUCGGAGAUGGUGUGGAGCGGAUGGGGGUAGGAAUAUAUGUAUGUAUCUGUACUUCUCUAAUAUGAAUCUGUCGCAAGUGAAUAUGAUAUACGAAUUGUGCAAGUGUAAACAUCGAAUCAAAUAAUAAAGUGAUUAGUGUGUAUCGUUCCCACGAUGAUCGAAUUAGGUACACAAAUGGUCAAUAUAAUAUAAUAAAAUAUGAUUAAUACUAUGGUAAAACUAUGGUAAGUAUGCAGUGACAAUUAAAAGGAAUAAUGAUGUAUGCAAUAUAUGGAGUUAAUGAAUACUUGGAAAUGCUAUGGCAAAAUGAGAGUAGGAAUGUAAUGACAAUUAUGAAAAAGAUUAUAUGAUUAAUAUGUAACUGACAAAUUAACAACUAAGGAUGUGAUGUCAAAGAUACUACGACAAAAGGUAAGGGUUAUGCGAUGUUGAGUGGGAAGGUCGGGAUUACUAAGAAUCUACUUUUUCUGUCAGCAAUGCCUUAGAAAAAUCAUACUUAACCUACUUCUUUGAAGAGUUCUAAAGUGACCUGCUUCUUUCGGAAGUAGAAACAUCAAGUUACCUCGCCUGUGUCUAUAGGCCUUUGAUAUGGUACCCUGCACUUUUUCCUUCUGUAUGAACGUUGCUCUAUGUCUAGAGUCUACUACAAGUAUCGGUAGAGUACUCGCUCAUAUCAUUCAACCAUGGUCUAACUAAUCUAACCUUUUAGACUUUAGAUUAAUUUAAGGGUAUGCUGCAUAGUCGACUAUGUCUAGGGAUUGCUCACAGACAUUUUAAAGAAUAAAACAAUUGAAUGAAAUAGUAAAAUAAUUCAGAUUUAUAUUGUAGUCAUUAAAGACAGUUAAAGUUCAAUAAAGUAACCCCAACCACAUGAGAUUUAGCUCAUAGGUUGGCAAAUAAAAUUUAACUUGUCGUUUUCAUCACUGUAAUUAACGAAUGAACAUAUUAGAAAUAAUGGAAGAAUGUCGGGAAGACAGUGUUCACUUGUCCAAUCAACACUCCAGCUGCGCAGUGUCCUGAGGUGGUUAAGAGGGACUGCCUUUGUUUUUCCUUUUCUUGUCUCUAUUCAGCCUCUACCUUUCUAUUGCGCCUCAGGUUCUCACCUUUUGUUCACUUCUAGGGUUUCCUCCUUUUCUUCUUUUUAUUUUUUCUUUUUCAGAAUAACUCCAACGGCUCAAGAUUUAUCUUCUCCUCUUUUCUAGGCAGAUUUAUCUGGUACAAGUAGAGUUGGAUUGAAACUGAUAUAAGUUAAAUGUUGACUAGACACCUUUUUAACAUUGCCAUGGCAUACGAAUUGGAAAUUUGACCACCUUUUUGCCCUAGCAAAACUUCACUCUUUUAUUUCUUGUUCCUUACCCUACACCUGCCAAUACCACAAAACACAACCUUUUCACAAGCAAUUAAAAGUACCUAAUAUUUAAGUGCAGCCCAAGUUCUAAUGCAAUGCUAAAAAUACUAAUUAAAUGUCCUAAAAUGCAACUAGAUGUACUUCAGUAUAGGCAAUUAACUAGGUCAAAAGGCAUGAAAUAUAACGCUUGAAACAAGAGUUAUCUGUCUGAUAUAAAUUAAUUGUUUAAAGUUAUCCGUUAUACACUGAGUUUUGUAAGCUCACUUUCUAUUUGUCUAAUAUUUUCAGGUAAUGCUCAAACUUAGGUGAACUGGUGUGAUAAAGCUUGGUUAAAUUGAUUUAGUUUCAUUGUUUAUUUAACUUAAAUUUGGGGUUAUUGCAUUUCAUUAUUAUUGGACUGUUGAGACUUUUUGGACUAUUUUGAUUUUGGGGAUUUUAUUUUCAAAUUUUGCAUGAUACUAUUAAAAACAUUUUGUCGAAAAUGUUUCUUUUCCUACAAAACAACUGAUUUUGAGAAAAUAAACUUGGUUUUCCAAAAUAUAACGAUCUGAGAAUUUCCGCUGCUAAGUAUUCAUUUUAGAAAAUGUAAGCAAACAUUGUUUUCAACUAUAAAGUUAAGUUGGAUGUAUUUUUCUAUUAAACUGGGGUUUAAGUAAUAAAAGUUUACAACAUUUUCCCAAAAUUUACAAAAAACUGGAUUUACAACCGUUUAAUGUAACAUCUCCAUAUUUGAUCAUAACGUCUAGGCUGGGCUUAGGUUGUUACAUUUAGUGGUAUCAGAGUAAAGUUGCAAAACUUAGGUUGUGAAAUUCAAAAUUGUUUUCCGAGUAAAGUUCCUUUCUACAUUAAUCGAAAAAAUAAUUCUGUGAAAUCCCAAGUCUCCGGUGUCGAUUCUGUAAGUACUUCUGACUUAGAUAAACCUUAGUUUAGAAAACUUUAAAUUGGUUAGAACCAUACUGUGAUAAUUAGAGACUGAAACAUCUCUGUAUAUUCUUCUAAUAAGUUUUUGAGCAUAAAAUAUCUACUAAUAAAUACUGGAACUGAUACAUAAAAUUUGUAAUGUAGAUAAUAUAUACGAUGAGUACUUAUGGAACACGUAGACUCGAUACCCGUUUGUGCGGUGGGCACCGAAGAGGGGCUCGAGCUGAGUCAUCCUUGAUGGGUAGUAUGCCUAAUUUGGAUACAAGCGAGACAUCAGGUACACCUACUGCUGAGACUAGGUCUCAAAGUUGCUCGGCUGGGAUCGACUCAUUGUCCCAUGCCAUACUCAAGGAUUUGGAGAGGUCGUUGGACCCAUUUUGGUCUUGAGAGCCGUGGGUCAGUAACUGAACGAAUUUGGUCCAAUGGUGCUGAAUUAUUCAGGGGUGUUACUAGAUUCACCCCAGCUGUGGCCGAAUAUUGGUAGGAGGCCACAUAGAGGAUUAUGAACGAUAUCACUACACCCCUGAGCAUAAAUUAAAAGAUGCAGUACCAUUGCUUUGCAAUGUGGUAUAUCAGUGGUGGUUGACGGUUGAUAAGGGUACUCAGUCGAAUCAGAUUACGUGGGAUCAUUUUAAGAGCGCCUUCCAGAGUAAAUAUGUGAGGGCGAGUUUUAUGGAUGCUCAUAGACGUGAGUUUAUAAGCCUUACUCAGGGGGAAAAGGCUAUGGUCUAGUUUGAGGCUGAAUUCCUAAGAUUGAGCAUAUAUGCUCGUGGGCUAGUAUCAAAUAACUAUUAUAAGUGUAUCCGCUUCGAGGAAUGCUUAAGAGAUAAUCUCAGGGUUCUGAUAGCUUCGCAAAGGGAGCAGGUUUUUGCCAUCUUAGUGGACAAGUCGAGAAUUUCUAAGGAGGUUAAGCGUGUUGAGCGUGAAAGUAGGGAUCGUGAGAGAGGUAACAAUAAGAUGGAUUCAGAGCCCUCUAGUCCUAUUUCAAGGCCUAAGAAACGGGUUAGAUCUGAUUGGCCUCUGAGGGUUGAGGUUCCUGUUGCUCCUACUGUGGUUCAGCUGUGUAGAAAUUGUGGUAGGCAUCAUCUGGGCAAAUAUUUGAGGAGGUUAGGAGCUUUUUUGCGAUGUGGGUCAAUGGAGCACCGCAUUAGGGAUUGUCCACAGCAUUCUAAUCAGGUGCACGCUCUAGCUCCAGGUUUAGUUUAGCAUCAGCGGGUAGUUCAGUAGCCGCCUAGAGGCUGUGGUACGGCUAGGGGUGGUAACGGUAUAGGUAGAGGUCAAAGAGUAUCGGGGUAAAGGUGUUAAUCAGACUGAAGCUAGACAGUUUGCACUAGUAUAUGUGACUAGACCUCGUAAGGACAAAGAUACCGCGGAUGUUAUCACUAGUACGUUAUUCAUUCAUACUACUCCCUAUAUUGCUUUGAUAAAUAUAGUACCGACACACUCUUAUAUAGCUAGUUCUGUCUUUGUGAACUUGGGUAUGUCUGUUAAGAGCACUUUUGGAGAGAUUACUGUGGUUAGUCCACUGAGUCAGUCAGUUCGGGUUAACAGGUUUUAUAGGAAUGUACCACUGGAAUUUUAAGGGGUUGUGUUUACAGCUAAUUUGAUGGAGUUGCCAUUAAGAGAAUUUGAUUUAAUUUUGGGAAUAAACUAGCUCAUAGAACAUCGGGUCAGUUUGGACUGUGCUACUAAGAGAGUAGUUUUGAGAUUUGAGAAUGAUGUGGAAGUGAUUAUAAUUAGCGAGUGUCGGAAUUACUUAUCCAAUGUGAUCUCCGCUCUUAUGGCUGAAAAGUUGGUUCGUAAAGGAUGUGAGGCAUUUCUGGCCUAUGCGUGUGAUUCAACUUCUGUGGAUUCAUUUGUUUAGUACAUUCAAAUGGUUAAGGAGUUUCUGGAUGUCUUUCCUGAGGAGUUGUCAGGUUUGUCUCCGGAUCAGGAAGUCGAGUUCAGUAUCUAGAUUAUACCAGGUGCAGCUCCGGUGUCCAUUGCUCCCUACUACAUGGCACCGAAAUAGCUUAUGGAACUAAAAGCUCAGCUUCAGGAACUCCUCGAUCGAGGGUUCAUUUGACCUAGUGUGGCCUUAUGGGAAGCAUCGGUUCUAUUCGUAAAGAAGAAAGAUGGUACUAUGAGGAUAUGUAUAGAUUACCGUCAGCUAAAUAAAUUGACGGUAAAAAAUAAGUACCCAUUUCUGAGGAUCAAUGAAUUGUUUGACCAGUUUCGUGGGGCUUCUGUGUUCUCCAAGAUAGAUCUUCGUUUCGAUUAUCAUUAGCUUAAGGUUAAAGAGGUCAAUGUUCAUUAGAUUGCUUUUAAGACUUGUUGUGGGCACUACGAGUUCCUAGUCAUGCCAUUUGGUUUGACGAAUGAUCCGGCUACAUUCAUGGACCUUAUGAACCGAGUCUUUCAACCAUGAGAUUUUGGUAUACUCUAAUAGUGAAGAUGAUCAUGAUAAUCAUCUUAGAGUACUUCUUCAGAUACUCUGUGAGAAACAGAUUUAUGCUAAGUUAAGCAAAUGUGAGUUUUUACUUAAGGAAGUCACCUUUCUGGGUCAUGUGGCUUCUGCUGAGGAGAUCUGAAUUGAUCUUAAGAAAAUUGAGGCUGUGCUUGAGUGGAAACAACCUAAGAAUGUUUUUAAGAUCCGCAGCUUCCUUGGGUUAGUGGGUUACUAUCAGAGGUUUGUCGAGGAGUUUUCACUUAUCGCAGCUCCUCUAACUAAGUUACUGCGUAAGAACGCAUCAUUUAUCUUGACUGAUGAGCAGCAAUCGAUCUUUAAGAAACUCAAUUUUUUUUACUCAGGCUCCUGUUUUGAACAGUUUGAAUGCAAUAAGGAGUUUGUGGUUUAUAGUGACACAUCACAGGUUGGUUUGGGUUGUGUUCUGAUGCAAGAUGGUAAGGUAGUGGCUUAUGCAUCCUGACAGCUUAAGUCACAUGAAGGCAACUAUCCCACGUAUGAUUUGGAGUUAGUUACGGUGGUCUUCGCCUUAAAAAUCUGGAGGCACUAUCUGUAUGGUGAAAGGUGUAUCAUUUACACCGGUCACAAGAGCCUCAAGUAUCUCUUUACUCAGAGAGAGUUAAACCUUAGGCAAUGUAGAUGGAUUCAGUUGCUUAAGGACUACGACUACACGAUUGAGUAUCAUCUCGAUAAGGCCAAUGUGGUUGCUGAUGCUCUUAGUCGUAGAGUAAUGUCUGACUUAAGGACAAUUUUUGCUCGCCUAGGUCUAUUUGAUGAUGGGAGUCUAUUAGUCGAGUUGCAAGUUAAGCUGACUUGGAUUGAUCAAAUUUGGGAUAAACAGUUGGGGGAUGAUUCUCUGGUUCUAUGUUUCUGUCAGGUUGAGGAAGGAAGUACUACUGAUUUUGGAUUGAACAAUGAUGGAGUUUUGUGUUUCGCAGGUCAAGUCUUUGUGCCUAACGACUCUGAUUUGAGGUAAUUCAUUCUGCGGGAAGUGCAUAAUAGCCCUUAUGCUAUGCAUCCUGAAUUUUUAGCAUCAAGAAUAGGAAUAAAAAAAAGUUUUGAUAUGAAGUCUACAAAUUUCAUGCGCAUAAACAUUGUUGUUAUGGACAAUGCAUGCAUGGUGUAAACUACUAUAUAAGUAGGUGUGUAUUGCAAUAUCCGAAGCAUAACACAACCAAACCAAAGCACAUAGAAAGCUACCAUGGCUUCUUCUUAGAAAAUGGCUCAACAAACCACAAACGGAAAGCUUUGGAACUCUUCCAGCGAAGCUCUAACCUUAACUGACAAGAAAGUUUGGCAAAGCUCUCAUUAUGCGAAUUUUCCAGAAAUAAUUGAAGAUGGAGAUGCGGGCGAGUUUACCCAUGAAUCAGUGACUGAUGAUGCUGAUAUUCCAGGUUCAGUUGCUGGUCUUGUGUACAGGCGACGUGAUUGAACAAAGUGGGUUGUUGCCUGGAGCAACCCACUAGAUGAGAACAACAAGGUAUAUAUUAAAUUCAAUUCAAUCUUAUCAUUAAUUAACUAGUUAGAAUGCGUAUAUAUAAUCAUUUAAUCUAUGAUUAUUGCAUGCAUGCUGCAGGUCUAUACUGAUAUCCAAAGGCAACCUAUUCACUGUGGGCAAAUCAACACCAACAUUGAGAAAAGAGGAAAACCAAAAUUUAAAAUUACAAAGUUUGGGUACAAUGUACCUAUUAAAAUUGAUGCCGGGAGCCGUUCACCCACAAUUAAGGCAUCAUUUGAGUUAGAGGCAUAACUGCCUUUUGCUUCUUCAUCAAGCUGUGCUGGUAAUCAAGGCUAUCAAAAUUAAAUAAUAAUGUGCUGCCUGCAGCUGCAUUACCUGUACUACUAUGAUAGUAAUAAAUUUUGAUAGCCAAUAUAACCAUUAGAAAGUGUGUAGGCCUUCACAAUCAUGUCAGUGCCAUGUAUAUAUACAUGGUUGACUAUUUGUAUAAUAUUAUGGAAAAAUAAAAUAGAAUGACCUUUACUAUUUUAUCUUUUGACUCAAUUUAUACUUUAUAUUUUCUCCAACUUCCUCAUCGACCCAUCAAGUCAUCAAACUACAAACCAGGAACCAUAACAUAGAAAACUUGACAACAAAUAAACUCCCACCAGCAAACCAUGUUUCCAGCAGCACAAUAAAACAUAACUAGCAUGCCAGCAACUCGAUACAUUACCAGUAGCAGCAACAACCACCAAGUUUUAAAGCAUGCGAGAUUGGUAAAAGUCAGCAAUGGUCAAGGCAUCUGUUACACAUUCUACCUGACGCUUUGACAAUGCAGACAUCACCAAUAGCUUAAUUCAAAUCAUCAAUGUGAGCACAACUUUCUUGUAGAAUCCAUGGACAAUGGAGCUAAUAGCAACCCAAAAGUAAACAGGACAACUUUUUCGCUGAGAUAUCUAAUCUCGUGGUACAGGAUGGUUGAGGUUAAGGCUUAGAUGGUUGUGGAUUGACCUUGUUUGAUUACGGUAAGAUUGUCUUGGGAAAGCAUCUCUCGCAAUUGAGCUGGAGCCUUGGUUUCUAUAAGUCCAUUUUAAAAGCUUCUUAAAUAACAUACUGAAAAAUAGAUAAAGAAAAGAGAGUAAAAAAGGUACGCUGGGAGCCCCAGGAUAGUUAUCCCCAUAAAAACACAAGAACCAGAUCAAAACUUGCCCAAACAUGUAAAAGCAAAAGAACUACAAAACAAAAUCAAACCCACUAUUAGAACUUACAGUAUAAAAGAUCCCACAACGCCAUAAACAUUAUAUGAUCAACUGUCAUUCAGGCGUCAUCCACCUCAAAAGCCUCCUAAACAACAUACCGAAGAAAGAUAAAAGAAAAGAGUAGAGAGUUUAAAAGGUACCAUUUCAUACAGGAUAAGGUUUUCUCUCUGUAAUAGACUAAGUAAUUUAAAGUGAAAAAAAUGUAAAAUCAUUGAUGAAGUUAACAUGGAUUGUUAGAAAGUAAUGAUUUGGCAGUUAAAUUCUUUAAGAAGCUGUGAGAUUAUGGGGUGUGUUAUUUGUUUGAUGAGUUUUGCUAACUACAAUUGUUUGCUUAAUAUGAAAACAAUUAAUGAAAGUGCUACACUAAAGUGAUCAUUAUUGCUUGGCACUUGAAUAAUUGUGCAAAUGAAAACACAAAAAAUAUCAAGAUUUAUUUACGUAGUUUAGUCAGUGAGCAAUUCCACUAUCUUUAAUCACAAAUGCAAAAGGUGAUUCACACUCUAUUAGUCCCCAAGCAUAGAGAUCUCACUUUUAUCCCUAAAAAAUUAGAACUCACCUCCAAAAUAGCCAUAGCAUGCAUGGCAUAACCAGGCAGAGUGCACGCGUGCGUAGUAGGGGACUAGGGGCAAGUAGGGCUAGCGCCACGACUCACACCCCCUUGCAAGCCUUGCACAAAUGCAACAGCUUCGGUUCCUUAGUUUGGGGAAGCUUUUAUCUAUUUUUAUAUUCGUUUGAUGUGAAACUUUAAAUUUUUCAUUCGAUCAAAAUUUUGCACAUCACGACAAAGUUGGAUCUUAGAAAAAUAUUGUUCAAACGUUCGAAAACUAGAAAAGUUCAAGAUCCAAAAUAUGCAUUGUGAAAAAAUUUGUAAUCUUUUACAAAUUUUCUUUUUCUAAAAUGGAGUCAUGAAAAUUUUUAGCUGUUUAGAGUUGAUUUUAUUUCUCAUUAUGAAUUAGAUAUUGAUUUUAUUAUGUUUAAUUGAAUGUUGAUAAAAUUGAUUAGCAUGUCAUGCAUAUAUGAUGAAGCAUGUUACAGAUUAUAAAAGAAUGUCACUUGAUCUUAUUUGCAUAUUUAAUCUUUCAUAUAUGAAAUUAGAAUUUAAAACUUUACAUGUUUUUUAAAAGAUUGAGUAGGAGAAGGUCUCUAACCAUGACCCAUAGCCUCUAUUAAUGGUAUCUAAGGGAUAGUAUAAUAAUACUUUGAGCCAGUUUUAACCCAUAGCCUCUAUUAAUGGUAUCUAAGGGAUAGUAUAAUAAUACUUUGAGCCAGUUUUAAUCUGGCUGCAUCCUAUGAUAAGUAUUAUCAUGUGGAUCACAGGAUGAGAUUUUCUUUAAAAGGAUAACAAGUCAUAUAUGAUUCUUAUUAAGAUUAUCUCAUGAUAACUCGAGAAUAUAUUUAUAAUGGUUGUUAAGUUAAUUGUUAUACACUCAAAUUACAUUAGUUAAAUAGCUUCCCGCAAGGCUAUAUUUAAGUUAAAAUAAUGACAAAUGUGAAACCACUAUUAAUAACACAAGUUAUACAUGUAGUUCGGUUUCUAUAUAUUUGAGGAAUCUAAUUGAGUGAUUAAAUCUACUAUCUUUAGUCCUAAUGCAAAAAGUGAUUUAAUACCUAUUACACUCCAGUGUAGCAAACUCACUUUUUUAACUAAAGAUCUAAAUCACCCACCUCUAAGUUCCUCCUCAAAAAUUUAGUCUAAAAACUUCUUUGCAGUAUCAAUUACAAGUCUCUCCAAUCAAUUCCCCUAUAAAACUGUAGUUAAAAUAAUAUAUACAAUAUAAUAACAAAGUCCAAGGUAAUUUGUAGAUACUAGAAAAAAAUAUUCAAGAACUCUCGAUCCAAUCUUAUUUAAAGGGAUCUGAAUGCUUGAUCCAAUCCAAUCCAAUCCAAUUUAAUAUUGAAGAUAUGUUUCUCCAUUUAAACGGUCUUCAAAGAUGCUUCCAAACAUCCAAGAAAUCAUCUAAGUCAUUGCUUGACUGAUUUUGUUGAAAAGAUUAAAACUCCAAAUAAUGCAAGUCAUAUUGUCUGACGCAAUGCUAAAGCAUCUUGGAUUUUAAGUGAAUCUAUUUUCAUAACUCGGGUUUUCUUAUGCCUGUUUAUGUAAAAAAUUGAUUAAUAUUUGGAGAAAUAAAACAAAGAAAAUGAUGUAGAAUAUAAUGGAGAAGAGAAAUAAAUUUUGUAUGGAAGAGAGAAACACCCUUUCUAAUAAACUUUUCUUUUUUAUUUCACACACUCUACAAAUGCUUCAUCACAUACAACUCUUUAUAUAGGAGUUGUAAGUGACUAUUCAUCUACAUCACUUAAAUGCUAUAGGAGUUGUGACUAUUCAUCUACAUGCAUGUGUGUAACUCUUCAUCUUCAAGUCUCUUCAUAUUUCUAACUCUUCAUAAUUUAUUUUGUGCAAGAUUAAUUUAAUUAUGUGCCAACAAUGCCUCCCUUAAAUUAAACUUGCUUCGAACUCCCAACCUUUCAACAUUUUUCUUGAAGACUUGUCCACUAAGCGGCUUUGUGAAGUUAUCCGUGAUCUGAUCUUCCGUCUUGCAAUAUUUAACUUGAACAUCACCAUCAUUUACCAGUUCCCUCAAGAAGUGAUAUCGAAUGCAAAUGAGUUUAGUCCUUCUAUGAAGAACUGGAUCCUUUGUGACCGAAAUAGUAGAACUAUUGUCACAAAACAAAAUCGUUGACUUGUUCUGCUUCUGCUUAAGACUCUCCAAAAUUCCAUGUAACCAAAUCAAUUGACAUCUUGUAUAAGAUGCAAUGAUAUAUUCAGCUUCUGUAGUCGAAAGAGCCACAAAUGAUUGUUUCUUUGAGCUCCAUGAAUCUGCACCACUACCAAGGUGAAAAACAUAACCAGAAGUGCUUCUGCUAUCAUUAAUGUUUCCUUCUAAAUCACUAUUUAUAUAACCAAUGAGAUCAACUAAUGUAUUAGCUUUAUAGAAAAUUCCAUAAUCAAUGGUUCCCUUCACAUAUCUCAAUAUUCUCUUAGCAGCCUCCAAGUGAUUGGAGUAAGGUUUCUCCAUGAAUCUACUCACCAAGCUAACAACAUACACGAUGUCAGGCCUUGUCGAAGUCAGAUACAUAAACUUUCCAACCAAACUUCUGAAUAUGAUGGAAUUGACAAGCUUUCCUUCACCCUCUUUAGAUAACUUCAGACCUUUGAUGCAUGGAGUAGAGAUUGGAUUAGCAUUUUCCAUCUUGAACUUUUUUAGAACUUCCUUUGCGUAGCUCUCUUGUGAAAUAAAAAUUCCUUUCUCGGAUUGAUAAACUUCAAUGCCAAGAAAAUGAUGAAGUUCUCCCAAAUUUGUCAUCUGAAAUUCUGCCAUUAUUGAGUGCUAAAAUUCUUUCAACAUAUUCACAUCAUUUCCUGUGAAAAUAAGAUCAUUAACGUAGAUACUUAAAACCAUGAAUUUUCUUUGAGAAUUGCCUUUGAUGAGUAUGCUCAUAUGGACAUUUCUGGAAUCCACACUUUUGAAAAUAAGAAUCGAUGCGGCUGUACCAAGCUCGAGGUGAUUGCUUCAACUCAUACAAAGCUUUGUUCAACUUGUAAACUUUUUCUUCUUCUCAUUUUUUGACAAACCCUGGUGGUUGAUCAACAUAGACUUCUUCUUUGAGAACACCAUUAAAAAAUGCAGAUUUUACGUCCAUUUGGAAUAUUUUUCAAUUGUUUUGGGCGGCAAGAGAAAUAAGUAACCAAACUGUCUCAAGUCUUGAAACUGGAGCAAGUACUUCUAUAAAAUCUUCUCUUUCCUUUUACUUGCAUCCUUUUGCAACCAGUCUUGCCUUGUACUUGUUGAUAGAGCCAUUUGGAUUCAUCUUUUUCUUGUACACCCAUUUGACUCUAAUAGAAUUCUUGUGUGGCGGCAAAUCUAUGAGCUCCCAUGUAUCAUUGUUUUCAAUUGAGCAAAUCUCUUCUUUCAUGGCUUUCCUCCAUAUUUCUUCUUGAUAUGCAUCAUCAAAAGAAAUUGGAUCUUUUCCUGCAAAGAAGGCAAAGAAUACGACAUCAUUUUGCACAACUUCAUCAGUUACAUCAUAUAACUCUUGGAUACUUCUCGUUUUUCGGAUCGGGCUGAAUGAAGAAGAAUUUGAUGAAGAACUUGGGGAAGCAAGAGGAUUUGCUACUUGAGCAACAUCUUUAACAUUCUCAAUUACUACCUCUUCUUCUUCUUCUAGUUCAAAAGGAAAAAUUGGCAAAUUCUCUUUUCUAACUUCCAUAUAUUUAAACAUGGAAUUUUCAUCAAACAAAACAUCUUGACUUAUCACAAUCUUCUUUGCCAUUGGAUUGUACAACUUGUAUGCCUUACUUCUUUCACUAUAGCCAAUGAAAAUACAAUUCUCUGACUCGUUAUCCAACUUGCUUCUCAUUGCAUCUGGAAUAUGAGAGUAAGCAACACUCCCAAAUACUCUAAGAUAACGAACACUAGGCUUUGUACCAUACCAUGCCUCAUGUGGCAUGCAAUUCUCCAAGCUUCUUGUCGGCGACCUGUUGAUAAGAUAAACUGCACAAGAAACAACUUCAGCACAAAAUCUUCUUGAUAACCUCUUCUUCUUAAGAAAACAUCUAGCCAUCUCCAUAAUUGUUUUGUUCUUUCUUUCACACACACUUUUUUUGCUGAGUUGUAUGGCAGAUUGUUAUUUCAUGCUGAAUGCCACUGUCUCUGCAAUAUUUCUCAAUUUAUUUUGAAAAAUAUUCACCUCUAUGAUCUGUCCGCAAGGUGUUAAUUUUUAGCCCAGUAAAGUUCUUCACUUCUGCCUUGAAAUCUUUGAAUCUCUGGAAAGCCUCUGGUUUUUCUUUGACAUAAUACACCCAUAACUUUCUUGAGUAAUCAUCAAUGAAAGAGAUAAAGUAACAAUUACCUCCCAAAGAUGAAACUGUCAUUGGACCACAAAGAUCCGAGUGAAUAAGUUGCAAUGGUCUUCUUGCUUUCCAUGAGGAUUGAGAAGGAAAAGUAAUUCUGUGUUGCUUUCCAAGCUGACAAGCUUCACAAACAUCGUCAAGCCGAUCGAUCUUUGGUAAACCUCUGACCAUCAUCUUUCUUGAAAGUAGCUCCAAAUUUCCAUAGUUCAAAUGUUCAUAUCUAUCAUGCCAUAACUUUGAAACUCCUUUAUGAGCACUAAUAAAACAAGACGUCUUCUGAUUUUGAAGGGUGAGAGAGAAAAGAUUAUUUGAUGCUACUCCAACUCUAGCAACAACCUGAUUUUUCCUUGACAAGUAACAAGCCAUGUCACGGAAAUGAAUAUCAUGCCCCUUCUUCAAGAGAUGCCUAACGCUAAGCAGAUUAUUUUUAAGACCAGGAACAAAAUAAACUUUAGACAUUUUCUCAACCCUUCCUUACUUUGUUUUCCAACUCCAACUCACCAACACCGCUAACUUUGUAAGCUUUGCCAUCUCCUACUUUUACUUCUCCACAAUCAGAUUCAAAUAACUUUGAGAAUAAAUUUUUGUUACCUAUCAUAUGCUUGCUAGCACCACUGUCUAUGUGUAACACCCCUUACCCGAGACCAUUGCUGGAGUCGAGCACGAGGCGUCAUCUAACUUAACUUACCAAUUCGGAGCAUAAAAAAAUUGCCUUUAAAAUUAAUUUCACUGUUCACAACAAAACUGUCCACUUACGUGAUUGUCACUAAUUUAAUUAUAACUCUAGUUAAAAAACUCAUAAUUUAAAUCUGUAAAUUUUCCCUAAAACUAGACUCAUAUUCCUAUUUACCAUAAAAUUUUCAGAAUUUUUGGUUUGGUCAAUUAGUACUGUUUAUUCAUUAAAGUUUCCACUGUUUCCCUACUCUACAGUUCUGACCUCUUGGAAAUAAAAAUCAAUUAUCUAAUUGUACAGAAUUCAUAUAAUGUUAUCGUUUGUUUAUUUUGAAAAUAGACUCAUUAAGGAAUCUAUACAUAUAAAUUAUGAACCAUAAUCAUUUCUGUACAAUUUAUAAUGAUUUUUUAAAGUCAGAACAGGGGACUUCAAAAACCAUUCUAACCCUAUCUCACUAAAAUUCAAAUAUCUCAAAAUAUAAAAUUCCUUUUCUUACACCGUUUCUUUUACAUAAAAAUAGACUUGAUAAUAUUUAAUCGUAUAUCUCAUUCAGUCUCUAAUUCCAUUUCUACUAUUUUUGGUGAUUUUUUAAAUUCACGUCACUGCUGCUGUCCAAAAACUGCUUCUUUAUAUUAGAUACCAUUUAAACAUACAUAACACCGAAACAUAUUCUUUACUAACCAUUUCAAUAGCUAAUCUUAGUCAUAUCAUUUGAACAUACUCAAAAUGAUUAAGACUCUAUACAUGCCAUAGCUUUAAACAUUUUGAAAACACAUAAUAUCGAGGUGGCUGUGAUAGUGUGAUACAAGCUCCGAUGAUCCCCAAUUCGAGCAAGCUCAAAACACUCGGAUGCAAAACGACUAUUUUUGUAAAUUAGUCGAUAACCUUCUCUUUUCCCCGAUCACUUCCACUAUUUCUUCUUUCUUGAUAAUUGAGCUUAGAAAAAUCAAGAACCCUAGCUUAUAGAACAUGAAAGUUUCGGCAACAACUCUUUAAUAUUUUGAAGAAAUGGACAUUUAUUUUCACUUUAUUUUGUUUUUUAUUCACUUUUGACAAAAAUACCCUUGACCCAUUUACUUAGAUAUUUUUCUAGAAUUACCCUUUUGAGUCCAUAACACUAAUUUAUGGUCUAUUUUCCACAUAAACACUUCCAAUUUCAUGCAAUAAUUCAAUUAAGUCAUUUAAUCACUAAUUAGACACACUUUGCAUUUUUCUCAAUUUAGUCCUAAAAAAUCAAUUAGGCACUAAAUCAUUAAAAUUUCCUAUCCAUAUUUUCAUACAAUAUUUCAAUCAAUCAGUAAUUAAUAAAAAUUUAUAAAAUUAAACUAUUUCACUUCGGAUUUGUGGUUAUAAAACCACUAUUUCGAUUAGGCCCUAUUUCGGGCUAUCACACUAUGUACCAGACAUCAUCAAUCUCUCCACCAUGAGACACGGGCAACAAAGUUUCUUGCUUUUCCUCUUGAUAAUUUUGCACUAUAUUAGCUUCAUCUUUCUCUUCUUUCUUAUACCAGCAUUCACUCGCCAAAUGACUAGGUUUGUGACAAUGAUAACAUUUAAAUUAGCCACGACCUCUUCCUCUUUGAUUUCCAUUUCCAUGUCCACGUCCUCUUUGUGAACCUCUAAAAUUCUAAUUUUGGUUGGCUUCUUUCCAUCCAUUCUCCGUGCUUGCAUCUUCACCUCUUCCACGAGCAUUUCAGCCUCUUCCUUUAAAGUUUCUUCCUCUUCUACGACCACGAUCUCUCCCUCUUUGAUUUUUAAAAUCUUCUUUCUUCUCAUUUAGAGACAACUUUGACUGGAGUGCUUGAUCUAGAUUUACUUCCUUCUUCUUCUUGUUUAAUCUUUCUUCAUGGGCUUGCAACGAGCCUGUGAGUUCAUCAAUGGUCAUGGUACUCAAGUCCUUUGAUUCUUCAAUGGCUACCACAAUGUAGUCAAAUCUAGAAUCCAAAGAACGGAGGAUUUCCUCAACAACACGAAUAUCAUCCAUAGUUUCACCAUUUCUUUUUAAUUGGUUGACUAUGGACAAAACUCAUGAAUAGUAAUCAGAAACAGAUUCUGACUCUGUUUUUUGUAAUCUUUCAAACUCUCCUCGAAGAGUUUGCAACCAAACUCUUUUCACCUUUUCAUCUCCUUUGAAUGAAUUCUGUAAAAUCUCCCAUGCUUGUUUUGCCAAGGUGGCACAAGUGAUUUUUUCCCAAUCUGCUUCAUAUGAUUGAACUCUUUGAUAUAUCCAAAAUAAGGCUUGUUGAUUUUUCUUCCUUGAUUUUCUUAGACUCUCUUUUUGAGCUUGUGUUAAUCCUUCCUCCUCUUCAGCCUCAACUUCAUUAUAACCUUUUUCAACAAUCUCCCAUUCUUCUAGAUAUCCAAGAAGAGCCUUCAUUUGGAUACUCCAUUUGCCAUAAUUUUCUUUGGUUAAUUAGGGAACGGAAGAAAGAGAAAUAGAAUUGUUCAUGUCGAUCAAACUUUGCUCUGAUACCAACUUGUAGAAGAUUGAUUAAUAUUUGGAGAAAUAAAACAAAGAAAAUGAUGAAGAAUAUAAUGGAGAAGAGAAAUAAAUUUUGUAUGGAAGAGAGAAACACCCUUUCUAAUAAACUUUUCUUUUUUAUUUCACAUACUCUACAAAUGCUUCAUCACAUACAACUCUUUAUAUAGGAGUUGUAAGUGACUAUUCAUCCACAUCACUUAAAUGCUAUAGGAGUUGUGACUAUUCAUCUACAUGCAUGUGUGUAACUCUUCAUCUUCAAGUCUCUUCGCAUUUCUAACUCUUCAUAAUUUAUUUUGUGCAAGAUUAAUUUAACUAUGUGCCAACAAUUUAAGGGUUCUAAAGCAUCUUGGGUCUGGAGUAGCAUUAUUGAAGGCAAGGAUUUUCUUAAAGGAACGUUGUUAUGGAAAAUUCAAAACGGAGAAUCUGUUCACAUAUGGGAGGACAGAUGGUUGAGGGGCAAUUGAGCCUCUUUCUUAUCCUGGACAGGUGGAUGAACCAUUACCAAUACUAGCAGCUGAAAUCAUAUGUAAAGAGCGUGAAUGCUGGAAUUUGGCUCCAAUCUCAAAGUGGCUAAACAACAGAGAAAUUGCUGAAAUCCACCAAAUUCCGGUGUAUAAUACUAAGGAGCAAGACAGGUUGGUUUGGCCAUAUAAUAUACAAUAGGGCAAUAUUCUGUUAAGUCCGGUUAUAAAGAGCUGAAGAAGCAAUCUGGUAAUGUGCUUACUUCUAAACCCUCUAGUUCCUAUGUGAUUGAGGUUUGUACCUAGAAAUUUAUAUGGAAACUACAGGUCCCUAGCAAAAUAAAGAUUUUUAUUUGCAAACUGUGUCAUAAUGCUAUUCCUUCAUGGCUUAAUCUUUGGAAAAGAAAGUGUGCGCAAAACUCAACUUGCUCGAUUUUUCAAGAGGAAGUGAAUCUGUUGAACAUCUUAUUUUGGGGUAUGAUUGGGUUAGGGGCGUUUGGUUUGAAGUAUGCUCUGGAUUGAAGAUCAAAAGGGAGGAUAUCAAGUCGUUUGAUGUGAAGUAAAUUUGGGAAUAGGAGUAUGAUGGUUAAGCUUGUAUAUACUUGCUCGUACAUUUGGAAGGUUAGAUGUGAAGUGGUUCUUGGAGGGAAAACUCUGGAUGUUGGACAGACCAUUCGAAGGAUCAAAUUGUCAUCUCAGGAGUUUCUUAAAGUUCAAGAGCAAAAGGUUGAAUGUGGUCCAUUAUUUGGUAGUAAAGAAUUACUGUUGAUUAUAAUUGGAUGAAUCCUCCUGAGAAUUGGAUUAAAAUAAAUUGUGAUGCAAGCUUUAAAGAAGAAUCUGAGAUGGCUAGGAUUGGGGUAAUUGGAAGAGAUUGGACUGGUUCGAUGAUUGAUGGGAUUGAGAAAGAAUUGAAGGUUUGUUCUGCAGAAGCUGCUGAAGCAUGGCCAGUUUUAACAGGGAUUGAGCUUGCAGUGAAGAAUCGAUGGGCUAAAAUUAUUAUUGAGACUGAUUAUUGCUAAACAGAUUGAGGUUGGAGGAGCAGAGAGGAGAAGGAGCAUUGGUCCCAUUUUGCAUAAAUUUGAUAGGCUGUUGAAUGAAAUAUCAGAGUUGAAGUUUCCCUCAUUAAGCGCGAAGCUAAUAGAGCGGCUGAUUGGAUGGCUAAGGCUUCUCAAAAGGGGAUGUGCAACAAUGGUUGGACUUGACAACCACCAUCUUCUUUGGUGUUCAUUCUGGACAAGGACGAAUUUCCUACUCCCCCUUCGAACUGAUAUUCAAGCUAGUUUUACAGUGAGGUAGCUGUGGCUCUCUUGUACUUGUGAGUCAAAUUUUUUACCACAACUUUUUGUAUUUUCUGAUAUAAUGAAAGUUUUGAUGUUUUUAUGGCAGAAAAAAAAAAACUAAUUUGUAAGCUUAGAAAUAUCUCACUUCAUUACAAAGUGAAAAUAAAAUAAAGCCAAAACUAUAAGAUGUAUAUAUAUAAAAAAUAAAGGGAGAAUAUUUAAUGUAUAGGUAGGGGUUAGUGUUCAAUUGAAUCUAGUAAAAAUAUUUCAAGUUAAUCAAGUUGAUAAAUCCUAUUUUAUCAUUCUAAUUCGAUUAUUAAAUUUUUUCGAAUUGAAUUGAGUGAAAUGAAAUUCGAGCCAAGUCGAAUCGAAUCGAGUGAAAUUGUUCAGUUAAAUUAAAAAAUUAAAUAUAUCAAAUUAAAAUCUUGUUACAGUAUAAUUAAUUUAAUGUUAGAACACCUAAAAUUGAAACUAUAUAUAUUUGAAAACCUUUUCAAAGCAUAAUAAUAAUAAUAAUAAUAAUAAUAAUAAUAAUAAGAUACUUUAGUAUUAAAAACAUGAAUAAUUAAUUAACUUAUUUAUGUUUCCAAAUUUAUUAUUUUAAAAAAUUUAAAAUUUUAACUUUCUUUAUAUAAUUUUUAAAUUUUUUUAAUUUUUUUUAAAAAAUAUAAAUUUUAUAAUUUUUAUAAAUAUUUUGAAUUUUAAAAAUUGUUUUGAAUUUUUUUUUUUGUUGAGAGAGAUCAAUUUGCUCCUUUUCAAAAUUGACACGGAUUAAAGGGGUAUUUACACCAAUCUAUUAUUUGAGUUGUAAAAUUCAACUCGACUCGAACUCGAAUAACUUAAAAUUCAAUUUUUUUAAUUUUUUUCAAAUUGAAUCGAGUUUUGUUCACCCCUAACCGUAUGUGCAUAGAUUUUAUAUACCAUCAAGUGAUAAUCAAAUGACACAUUAUUACUAGUGUAAAAUAAAAAUUAUUGAAGGGUUUAAAAAUAGUAGACAUUGGUGAACAUUUUCAUAAUGUUCUUAUUAUUCAUUAGUAUUGUUGUUUGAGGUUUGAUCAAACUCUUGAGAUUGGUUAGAGGUAAAGCUUGCAGAAGAAUUGGUUCUUUAGGGAAAGGAAACAUAAUUUAAUUUUCUUAUUUCCUACAAGCGGGUUCUAUUAUGAGAAUUUCUGAAUUACUAUCAUUGCCUAUCAUUCUGCCACCAAUUUGACAUUAGAAAUGAAAUUUCUCUUAAAAAACAUGUUUCCAUAUAAAAUAAAAAAAUAGAAGAAAGAAUAUUUCAGAAUAUUAUAAAGAAAACCAAAGUAUAGGAAAUACAGUAAAUAAAAGAAAAUACAAAAAUUGAAAAAAAUAGAUAAAUGAUAAAAUGUUAUAGAUGUGAAAAAUCAUGACACAUGUCAAAAUCCCUAAUGCAAAAAUUGUAUUAAAGAUAUCAAAUAUCAAACAUAUUUUGUAAUGAUAAAAGAUAUUACCCAAGACAUUAUAUUAGGAACCCCUUUAUAUCUUUACUCAAACCUUACAAAGUAACAAAUCACAAAGUUAAAAAUCUUAACUUAUUAACAUUUUUAUUCAUUACAAAUCAAUAAUUUAAUUAAUCAUAAAUAGAACAAUUUUUUUUAAAGAAGAAAUAUGUUUUUUUAAAAAAUUAAAUGAAAAAUUAGAAAAAAACAGAAGUUCAAAGGAGAAUAAAUCAAAUCAAAGAAGAAAUCGAGUCAACAAUAUGCUCUGACAUCUCUAAUGCCUUUUGGAAUAGGAAAAAACAUGAAGUAACAUUACCAUAUGAAAAUGAUUUUGUUGAAAGACAAAUCCUAACAAAAGUAAAGCCAAUAAAAAUGAAUAAAGAGAUGGAAACUUUUGUUAAAAAGAAAGACAAGAUUUUCUUAAUAAAAAAUUAAUAAAAAAAGUAACUUUUCUUACAGUUGUUCAGCAUUUUAUGUGAUGAAAAAUGCAGAACUUGAAAGAGGAACACUAGUAUUAGUCAUUAAUUAUAAACCUCUCAAUCAAUGUAGAAAGGAAUUAUUAUUACUAACAUAAAAAAAAAUCAAAUUCAAAACUUGACACCCAAAAAAAUUUGGAAUCUAAAAUCCGAAAGAUCAAUAAAAAUUAUAGCUAAUAUUUAAUUAUGUUUAACUAAAAAAUAAAGUUAAAUGUAUUUAUUUUCAAGUCUUUCAAUACAUUUUAUUUUAUACCAAUAAUGAUCUUUCAUAUUAUUAACUGAUGGUGCAUGAAACCUAAACACUGACAAUGCAUCAAAUAUUAUCUCAUAUAUAAAGUUAACAACUAUAUAUUGAAUUCAUGGUUGAAUAAGAAUAUAAAAUUAGGAGACAGAUCCCUAUUUUUUGUAGAGGUAACUUCAAUGUUGAAAUUGUUACUUAUAUGUUUCUACGUGUUUUUUUUUCAUAAUAAUUUAUUUGACCUUUCAACUUUACAAAAAGAAAUCAUUUUAAGUUUCUACUUAAAUUUUUGUUUCUUUUAUCUUUUAAACUUGUAUUGUUUGUUAACGUCAAUCCACGUGAACUGACACGUAUUUACUACAUUAGCAAUUGAUUAAUUUUUAAAAGAUUAAAAAUAUAUUAUAUACCUUUUUAAUAAUUUUAAAUUUUUAAAAUUUGAAAGAUUAAUUAAUUGUUGAUAUGUCAGUCACGUUUGUGUGAUAUCAGUAAAAUUAACAAAUAUUAACUUUUAUUUUAUUUUAGUAUAAAUUUAAAGAUUAAAAAGGGAAGAAAAAUUAAAUAAAAAAUAUUAUUAUGCGUUUGAGAUAAAUGAUGAGGCAAAGUACAACAAAGGAGUAACAUCAGACAAAGCCAAACACCAGAAUCACAUCAGAAGAGUGCAGAAGAACCUCUAGUGGUGCAAUCAAUUAUCAAUUAGAUAGCCGUGUUUAUUAGUUAAUAUAUUAAUGUAAAAACAAAACUUUCCAUUCAAGCAUAUUUUUUAAUAUAACAAAAUUCAGCUCCAUACUAAAAGUCUCAUUGCUUUAAUACCUUAUCCUUUCAGGAUCUCAAAUACAAAGUUUUAUUCCCUUUUUUUCCAACAAAAAUUUAUGCCUAAUACACAAAUCACUAUUUUUUCAAAGGGAUUCAAAGUUUAAUGAAAAAAUGGGUUGAUGUUACAUUUAAAGUUAUUUAAUUAUUAAUACGAAUACAGUAUCAAUAUAAAAAAUAUUUCAAACAUAUUAUUAACAUCUCAAAAUUUAAUAUGAAUUUCAUGUGAUAGCUUGAUGGUUAAGGGUGUUCAUCAUUCCAGUUGUGACCUGAGUUUAAAUCACACUAGUUAUAUGUAUACUUAUGCUUUGGUGACUAUUAGGUUACCAGGAUAAUGAUGUACAUGGAGUUUUGUAAUUACUAGCAACUGACACUAGUUAGUAAAAGAAAAUUAUUUCAAUAAUUCUUAAAAAUAUAUAAUUAAGAUUCAAGUAUAUUUUGGAAAUUUUUAAUUUAGAGAUGACUUUUAUGUACUAAUUUUUUUUAUGUAAUACAUCCGUUGAAAUUAUUUAUUUAAUUAUGUGAUGUGAGUUUAGUUUUAGUCCCCAACAAUUAUAUUUUAAAUACACUAAAUUAUUAGUAAAUUUAUGUUUUAGUUAUUUAAUUUUAAAAAAUUACAAAAUGGUCAUUGAACUAUUUGAAAGUUUUUAUUGAAGUCAUUAGGCUAUUAAGGUUUUACUUUAAAGUCUUGCUAGCAAGCUUCAAGCAAUGAUUCGAUCCAAGUCGAUUUGACUAUCAAUGUCAAUGAUGGGAGAAAAAUUUUGUUUGAAUUUUGGUUCGCAGAUUCAUGAGUUUAAAAGUUAUUUCUUGAAAAAAAGGUGAAUUGUAGAAGAGAAAGGGAAUGAGAGCUUUCGAUAGAUACAGGUGGUGCAAAUAGAGAAGGCCAUACAAUAAUUUUAAUAGCUCAGUGACUUAAAUGAAAAUUUUUGAAUAGUUUAAUGAUCAAUUUGUAACUUUUUUUUUUUAAAUUGAGUAACGAAACAUAAACUUACUAAUAGUUUAGAUCACAAUGGAAGUAGUUUACCUUUAUAUUGUUAAUUUAUUAUACAAAAUUUAUUUAAUUUAAAAAUAAUACUUUAUCAAAAAAAUCCAAAUAGGUUAAAAAUAUUUCUUUAAUUGAAAAGAAUUUGUACUUAGAAGUGAAAAGACACAUCAAGAAUAUGAAUAAAGAAAAGGAAAAGGAAUAUAAAAAAGUUUUGAUGUGAAUGAAGUCUACUAAUUUCAUGCGCAUAAACGUCCUUAUUAUGGACAAUGCAUGCAUGGUGUAAACUAGUAUAUAAGUAGGUGUGUAUUGCAAUAUUUGAAGCAUAACACAACCAAAACAAGCUUUAGCUAACCAAAGCACAUACAAAGCUACCAUGGCUAAUUUUCAAAUGAAAAAAGUUCAACAAUGCACACACGGCAAGCUGUGGAACUCUUCCAGCGAAGCUCUAACCUUGACCGACAAGAAAGUUUGGCAAGGCUCUCAUUAUGCGGAUUUCCCAGAAAUAAUUGAAGAUGGGGAUGCGAGUGAGUUUACACAUGAAUCAGUGACUGAUGAUGCUGAUAUUCAUGGUUCAGUUGCUGGUCUUGUGUACAGGCGACGUGAUGGAACUAAGUGGAUUGUUGCCUGGAGCAACCCACAAGCUGAGAACAGCAAGGUAUAUAUUGCAUUCAAUUCAAUCUUACCAUUAAUUAACUAAUUAGAAUGUGUAUAAAUAAUCAUUUAAUUUAUGAUUCAUUUCAUGCAUGUUGCAGGUCUAUACUGAUAUCCAGAGACAACCUGUUCACUGGGGGCAAAUCAAAACCAACCUUGAGAAAAGAGGAAAACCAAAAUUUAAAGUUACAAAGUUUGGUUACAAUGCAUCUAUUGAAAUUGAUCCCGUGAGUCGUUCACCCACAAUGAAGGCAUCAUUUGAGUUAGAGGCAUAACUGCCUUAUCGUCUUCAUCAAGCUGUGGUGGUAAUUAAGGCUAUCAAAAUUAAAUAAUAGUGUGAUGCUUGCUGCUGCAUUACCUGUACUACUAUUAUAGUAAAAAGAUUUGAUAGCCAGUAGAACCAUUAGAAAGUGUGUAGGCCUUCACAAUCAUGUCAGUGCCAUGUAUAUGUACAUGGUUGACUAUUUGUGUAAUAUUAUCGAAAAAUAAAACAAAAUGGCCUUUACUAUUUUAUCUUUAGACUAAAUUUAUACUCUAUGUUUUCUCCAACUUCUGCAUCCAUCCAUCGAAUCAUCAAACAACAAACCAGGAACCAUAACAUAGAAAAUCUGACAACAAAUAAACUCCCAACAACAAACCAUGUUUCCAACAGCACAAUGAAACAUAACUAGUAUCCCAGCAACUCGAUACAUAACCAGUAGCAGCAACUACCACCAAGUUUUAAAACAUGCUGGAUUGCUAAAAGUCAGCAAUGGUCAAGCCAUCUGUUAUCCAUUCUACCUUACGCUUUGACAAUACAGACAUCACCAAUAGCUUAAACCAAAUCAUCAAUGUCAACACAACUUUCUUGUAGAAUCCAUGGCCAAUGGAGCUAAUAGCAACCCAAAAGACAACAGGACAACUUUUUCGAUGAGAUAUUUAAUCUUCAUGGUUGAGUUCUUUGAUUACGGUAAGAUUGUAUUGGGAAAGCGUCUCUCGUGAUUGAGCGGAAGCCUUGGUUUCUAUAAGUGCAUCAAUUUUAAUUUAUUUGUAAUAUUCUCCACUAGAAUUAUACUAUUUAAUUAUAUUAUUUAAUUUUUUUAUGGAUUUAGGGAAAUAUUGGGAGAAAAAGAGAUUACAACUUAUUUUUGGGAAAAUGUAGUUUAGACUUUCAACAUCAUGCUGCUAUAAUAUUUUAUAAACUAUAAAAUUUUAGUUUGGAUUCAUAACAUACCAUUCAUAUGAAAUUAGAAAUUCUAAUUAAAGUUAUUUCACAAUUUGAACUCAAAAAAAAGUCGAAAAAGUGUCUAGAAAUGGCAUGACAGUGCUAUGCGAAAAUUUACCAAUAAAUGUAGAAAAAUUGUUUUGCUUUGUUGAAUUGAAGGCAGUUUCUUUUUUUCAUUAUGUAAUUUUUAUCGUAUAAAUAGGCAUUAUUAUGUUAUAAUGUAAAGAUAGCGGCUCUUAGUAUAUUUUUGCUUUUGUGUUAACUUUAAUUUAUGGUUUGUUAUACUAAUUUUUUAGUUUAAGGGAUUUCGAAGCUUAAUUUUAAAAGUUUAUGAGAUUUAAUUAGUUUUAUCUUUUUCUUUGUUCUUUAGUAUUUACAUGUCUUUUGAUUUAAGUGCAAAUAUUUAGGUUUUUUUAAAUAUAAGACUCAUAUUUGAUAACUUAGAAUAUUUGCCUUGUCAAUAAAAAAAUCAGUAAUUGUUUAAUUCAUUUUAAUGCUUGUGACAAAUACCAUUACUGCAUAUGCAAUCAAUGUUGUGUGGGCAUGCGAACUAGCUUAAAUAAAUUCUAUUUUGAUGUGUUUGUUGGUUAAAAUUAAGUUUAUCUUGUUCGUAAUUUUAUCAGUAAACUAAAUUCUAAGCGUGAAAUUAUAGGAUUGUUCAUUGAUAAGGAGAAUAAUUUCAAUGAGCUUUCUCUUGGUUAUCGAUAAGGUAAAUGAGAGACUGAUUGCUAAGCGUGACAUUAACAACUAUAAUUAAUUUAUUAAAGAACACUGAAAUUAUAUUUGCAUCAAUGAUUAAACUUGUGAAUCAAACAUAUAUUUUACAUUUGGCUAUAGCUUUAUCUCAUUGGUUUUUCUUCAAUUUUAAUUAUUACCUUCUUGGUUGACAUUUAAAUUUAAUUUUAGUAUUUUAUUUUCUAAACCCCCAUCAUAUUUACUUUCCUUGUUUUUAUUUAAGAAAUAAAAUUAUUAUUGAUCUCUAUGAAUACGACUCUACUCAUUGCUAUGUACUAAAUUUGUAUUUCUUUAAUAGAAUUUUAUUUUUGUAGGUCUCGAAAACUGUACAAAUUUUGGCCUUUUUGUCGAGGAUUAAUGUUAAUAAUUUUGUCUCCCUAUUGUUUUUAAUUUAAUUUAAUUUUUGUUCCUUUUUAUGCUUCGAUCUUUUUUUUGCUUAACCAUAAAAUAUAUCUAUUAAAAUUGAAAUUUUGAUCUUCUCGUGCAGGUGAACUCUAAUACAAUCUUGAGAUUGAGAAAAUUGCUUGAAGACUAAGGAAGGCAGUUCAAGAGAGAACUAACUAGUUGUCUUCAUUUACCAAAUCAAAAGGAGAAGAACCAAUGGCUUGUUUAGAACCAACAACGAGAGAGUUAGCUACGUUGAAUUUGAAGCAACAAUCUUUGUGCAUCAAAUAUCCUAAAUUAGAGGUAUCAUUUGAAUUAAAAUCUGGACUAGUUCAUUUAUUGUCUACUUUUCGUGUCAAGCAAAUGAAUAUCUUCAUAAGCACUUGAAGGACUUUCAUGUACUGUGUUCUACUAUAAGACGACAAUGAGUGAUCAAAGAGGAAACCAAACUAAGAGCCUUACCCUCUUCACUAGCCGACAAGGUGAAGAAUUGGCUAUUUUAUUUACCUCCUGGAUCUAUAACAACAUGGAUUGACAUAAUAAGAUUAUUUUUGAUAAUUUUUUUUUUCUACUUGACGUGCUACUUAUAUAAAAAAAAAUUUGUGGCAUCAAGUAGAAAAAUAUGAAGACUUGUAAAAAUGGAAUGUCGAUAAUGACAAUAUAUCACAAAGAAAAGAGAAAUAAAAAUAAAGAACACACAAAUUUUUACAUGGAAACCCUUUCGAGGAAAAAACCACGGGCAGAGGAGAAGAAAAUUCACUAUGUCGAAUUCAAAUAAUUGCAAGAGGAGUAGACUAUGUCUAUUUAUAGGCUUGUAAAACCAUAUUCUAAUAGGAGUGUAGUAAGAUUGAAACACCUUAUUCUAAUCAAUAUCAAAUAGAUGGAGUUUAAUAAGGUUUAAAAAACCUUAUUCUAAAAUAAAAUAAAAGAAGUGUAGUUCUAUAGGGAUUUUACUUUUAUUUUAUUUUACUGUAUUUUAUUUAAAUAAGGAUUCAGGUCACCUAAUUCUAACAAUCUCCACCUUGACACGAAUUCUCAAUGAACAAUUUCUUCAUCGCGAACUCUCAACGAACAAGUUCUCCACCUCUUCCAUAAAACCCCUUAAGGGUUUAACUUCAACAAUGAACACCAAUCAAGUCUAAGCACUGCUCAAACUUGGUUAUAGGAAGUGACUUAGUCAUCAUGUCUGCAGGAUUUUCAUUAGUAGUAAUUUUGCUCAGAACAAUAUCACCAUGAGCAAUAAUAUCAUGAACAAAAUGAUACCGAACAUCAAUGUGUUUUGUUCUCUCAUUAAACAUUUGAUCUUUUGUAAGGAAGAUGACACUCUGACUGUCUCAAAAUACUGUAUUGAUUUGAAGGUCUUCAUUGAGUUCAUUAAAGAUUCCCUUCAACUAAAUAACUUUUUUACAAGCCUCAGUAAUUGCCGUGUACUCAGCUUCAGUGGUAGACAAAGCAACUGUAGUUUGCAAAGUGGCUUUCCAAUUGAUUGCACAACCCCCGAUUGUAAAGACAUAACCUGUGAGAGAUCUUCUUCUAUCAAGGUCUCCAGCAAAAUCAGCAUCAACAUACCCAAUGACUCCAUCUCUAGUUCUUCCAAACUAUAAGCAAACAUCAGUAGUACCUCGUAAGUAUCUUAAAAUCCACUAAACUACUUUCCAAUGUUCUUUACCGAGAUUCGCCAUGUAUCUGCUAACUGCACUGACUGCAUAGGAAAAAUCUAUAUGUAAACAAACCAUAGCAUAAAUGAGAGAUCCCACUGCACUAGAGUAUGGAACAUGUGACAUGUACUCAAUCUCAUCAUCUAAUUGUUAAGACAAAGCCGAUGAAAGUCUGAAAUGGGCUGCUAAAGGAGUACUAACAGGUUUAGCAUUCUGCAUAUUGAAUCUGUAAAGAACUUUCUUAAUGUACCCAUUCUGAAUUAGGUACAAUUUACUUGUUUUUCUAUCUCUGAGAAUCUCCAUAUCAAGUAUCUUCUUUGCUGGUCCCAAAUCUUUCAUCUUAAAUUCUUCACUUAGUUGGACUUUGACAUUUCUUAUCUCUCCUUUAUAUUUUGUUGCUAUCAAUGUCAUCAACAUAAAGGAGUAGAUACACAAAAGAACCAUCACUGUUUUCUUUAAACUAAACACAACUGUCAAAGCUACUUCUUUUAAAAUCAUGAGAAGUCAUAAAGGAAUCAAACCUCUUGUACCAUUGUCUUGGUGACUAUUUCAAAUCGUAAAGGGAUUUUUUAGCAAGCAAACAUAGUCCUCUUUUUUUUGAGACAGUAAAACCCUCUGGUUGUUGCAUGUAAAUAUCCUCCUUAAGUUCUCCAUGCAAAAAUACAGUUUUUACAUCUUACUACUCAAGCUCCAAAUCAUGCAUGGCCACAAUACCAAGCAAAGCUCGAAUCGAACUAUGCUUCACAACUGGGGAGAAAAAAUCUGUGAAGUCCACUCCUGAAAUUUGACUAUAACCCUUUGUAACAAUCCUUACUUUAUAUUUGGGUUCUUCAACUCUUGGAGUCCCUUCUUUUUUUUAAACACCUAUUUACAGCGAACAACCUUUUUACCUUCAGGAAAUUUCACAAGAUUUCAUGUUUUGUUUUUAUGGAGUGAUUCCAUAUCCACUUGCAUAGCAAACAUCCACCGUUCUGAGUCUUCACAGCUAACCACAUCAGAAUAAUUAGAUGGUUCUUGGUUUGCAUAUAUAUCUUCAGCCACAUUUAAAGCAGAAGCAACUAGAUCAACCUUGACAUACUUCUUUGGAGGUUUAAUUUCUCUUCUAGUUCUAUUUUUGGCGAUAGAGUAUUGUGGUGAAGAAGCAACUCUAUUUUGAAUUUUUGUAUUGGCUUGAGGAGUCGACUCUAUUGUAGAUUCUGGAUUAAUUUGAUUCUCCACCUGCUUUUGAUUUUCUUUAUUUGAAGAGUCCUUAAGAGAUAAGUUAGGUAGCAUAGUAGUUUCAUCAAAAACAACAUCUCUGCUAAUCACAACUUUUCUAUUUUCAAGACACCAUAACUUAUACCCUUUUACACUUGCUUUAUAACCAAGAAAAACACAUUUAAUGUAUCUCGGUUCUAAUUUUCCAUUAUCAACAUAAGCAUACACAGGACACUCAAAGAUCUUUAAAUCAGAAUAGUUAGUAGGAUUAUCAGACCAUAUCUCUUGUGGAGUCUUUCUCUCAAUGGAAACAGAUGGAGAUCGGUUGAUCAAAAAACAUGCAGUAGAGGCUACUUUGGCCCAAAAUGACUUUGGUAAGUUGGCAGUUGACAACAUAUAUCGGACCUUCUCCAUGACCGUUCUGUUCAUUCGUUCUGCAACUCCAUUUUGCAGUAAAGUAUGACGAACUGUCAAGUGUCUCACGAUCCCUUCUGACUUGCACAGUUUAUUAAACUCGUUAGAAUAGAACUCUAAGCCAUUGUCUGUACGAAGGUAUUGUAUUUUUUUCAGUCUAUUUUUUAAUCAUAUUUUUCCAAGACUUAAAUGCUGAAAACACAUCGCUUUUCUGCUUUAGGAAGAACGCCUAAACUUUUCUGGAAAGAUCAUCAAUAAAAGUUAGCAUAUAAUUAGCUCCACCCCUCGAAGACACUCUAGAAGGCUCCACAGAUCAGAAUGAAUAUACUCCAAUGUUCUCUUCCUGUUAUGGAUUCCACUGGUGUAUCGAACUCUCUUUUUCUUCCCAAAAGUAUAGUGCUCACAGAAUUUCAGUUUGCAAAUUCCUUGCCCAUCAAGAAGUCCUCUUUUGCUCAAUUCUACCAUGUGAUUCUCACUCAUAUGCCCUAGGCACAUAUGCCAAAGUUUAGUAAUAUCAUCUGUCGAAACCCUUUUUUUAUGUUUGAAAAAUGGGAAUCGAUUUUUAAAAUGGAAAUGGAGUCGCCACCGACCUUUAUUGAAGGUGUGAUCAGAUCACCUUGAAAACGAUUUUAGGUCUACAGAUUUUGAGAAAAUAGGUUCGGGAGUCGGUUACGCACGAGGAAAGGUUAGCACCCUCGUGACGCCCAAAAAUUGGUACUGAAUUGAUUACUUAAUGUCUUAGUAUUGAAAUUCUGGAAAGAUUCCAAAAUACGAUCCUUCGAAGUGAAAAUUUGAAUAAACCAAAUUGAAUGAUAAGACGCACUCAUUUUGAAGAGAUAAAUUGUCACACUCAGUGAGUUAGGGUGUAACAAUUCAAUCGUCAAAAUUAAGUAUGUCCUUUUAAUUUUUAAAAUUUAAAAUUCAUGCAUUUUGAGAAGGUUAUUUUGUCAUUUAGGUCGAACGAGAAAUCAGAAUUCAGUAAGUUAGGGUUCAAUUUCUCGAAAUUUCUAAACACCAAAUAUUGCCUUUAUUUUAAAAUCGAGAUAACAAAAUGCCAUAUCCAGUAAGUUAGGAUCCAACAUUUUGAAGUCUCAAAACUUUAUUUUAAAGAUUGUAUGGUUUUAAUAAAAUAAACAAUUGGCUAUCUAAAUUCAUCAAGAAGAAUUGAAACCCAAUAAGUUAGGGCACAAUUCUCUCGAGAAUUAUGAACACCAAGCCCUUUUUUUAAAACUUAUGAAAUAAAAGGAUUGUAGUGCUUUAAUAAAAUGCAAUUCUUACAAAUGUAACAUGAUUGAAUGGUGAUGUAUGACGUAAAAUAUAAUAUAUAAUCCAAACACAUACUAAAGAAUAAUGAAUAAAUAAUAAAUUAAUACUGACAAACUUAGCAACAAUAAUCUCAAGUGUACAUUAUGCUAAUAUCAAUAUCAACGUUCAAAAGCUAAUAAAAAACAAGCCGAUUAAUGCAAAUGCAAACCAAAUGUACAAGUUUUGAAAUAGCUAAAAAAUGGCAUGAAAGAAAUGGAAAUUGUAAAUCAAUAAAGUAUAUGUUCAAAAAUUUAAAAUGAAUAACAUGUAGAAAAGUUUGAAAUAGAUUAAGAAAUAGAUUUUACAUGAAUUGUAAUAUGCAAAUGAGUUUUAAAGUAAAUAUGGCAUGAGUAGAAAACUAAAAUUUAUAAUAUACAAAACAAUACAUAUAUUAAUUUAAAUAAAUGAUACCUUUUAAAUGAAGAGCUUAAUAAUAAUAAUAAUAAUGAUGAUGAUGAUGAAAUAUAUACAUAAUAAUAAUACAAAAAGGUUGAAAUAAACAAAGCAUGUAAGUAGGGUUUAAACAAAAUAAAUUAUAAAAGUAACUUAUCUAAAAGAAAGCUAAAAGACAAUAAUUAUAAUAAUAGGAAAUCAAUAAUAUGUUCCUAAAAUAAAAAAAAUGAAAAUUACGUAUAUAUGAUAGUAUGGUAUGAAAGUAUGAUUGUAACUUUUAGAAUAUAGGAAUAUAAAAGAGAAUUUAAAAAUAAAGAUUAUAAAAACUAUAGCAAUAGAAUAUACAAAUCAUUUUAAGUUAAUCAUAAAAAAUAAAUGUUAAACUUAAGUAAUAAUUGGUGAAAACUUAAAAUUAUUGUAUAUAAUAAAUUUAAAAAUCAACCACAAGAUGAAUUUAAAUAAUGGUAAUGAUAUUGGUGAUAAAUUAAAAAUAAUAUUAAGCUAAAUCAUAUAGAAAUAUUAGAUUUAAAACUAGGUACAAAAAAUGAAAUAAUAUACAUUCAAUCAAAUAAAAUAAACCCUAAACUAAAAUAAAUUGGAUUAAAAACUAGAAUGGAGGAAAAAUUCGUGAAUAAAAUAGAAUAAAGGAUCCAAUUACGAAGCGUGAAUAACUCAGAGGGAUUGAAUGUGCAAAUUUCCCUUAGAAGCAAAAUCGCGCGGAUCUGAGAUUGGAUCGGGUCAGUGCACGGGUUUGAGCCUCUAAAUGACGUCGUAUCAUGGCCACUACUCAGGCUUUGAAUGACGUCGUUUCUUUCGUCAAAUAAAGGCUAAAUUAAGCCUAAAAUCAACAGAUAUUUGAAACUCGCAAAUCAACCCUAAAAAAAACCUAAUCUCUUCCCCUCCGUGCGCCGUUUCAGACUCAACCACUCAAAGGCUCUCCGAUCCCAUGCCCGAUCUCCAAUUACGACGAAGAGGACGAGGAUUCAGCUUCGCAAUAAAGGUAAAAUCCUUCGCCCUCCUUUCGUUUCCCUUUCUCAAACAAUAAAUAAAAAGAAAAGAAAAAAAAGAAUCGAAAAAUGAUAAAAAAUGAGAGAAAAAAAACUUGAAGUCACCUUCAAAGUCUGAUUUCUUUCCUUUCCUUAAUUCAUUUUUCUAUUUCAGUGUGCGUAAAACUUUACAGUGCUCAAAUGGCAUUUUUAUAACCGAAAUCCGUAAAAAUAAAAAUAAGAUCAAUCAAAAAAUAUAUAUUUUUUACAUUUUCAUUUACUGCUCUCUUAUUUGAUGCGUUGCCUUUUCCUUGCUGUCAUUUUCCCUUGCUUUCUCUGCUAGUUUGUUACGUCUGUUACAAGUGCCAGCUGGAAUGGAGGCCUGGUUCGCAUGCGAGCAACGAGCAUGGUGGUUGCGUAGCAUGCGCGAAGGCUACCUGGGGAGAACGGCGCUAGAAGCUGUUGCUAUUUAGUGUUUUCUAUUUUUCUUGCUUUUGGGUAUUAGGUUUGAAUUGGGUCUGUAAUUGGUUAUUGGGCAGGGGUGUAUUGGGUUUAUGGUUUAUUUUAUUGGACUAUUAUUGUACAUUUUAUUUUAUUUUUAUUUUUAUUUAGUUUUAAUAAGUCCGGGUAAAAUUGAUUAUUACAGCUGCCCCUCUUUGCUCGUUAUCGUGUAACGGGAACGAAGCAAAGACUUUAAAAAUGACCAAUUUUGCUCGGUCGUGCUGGACCUUGGUGCUUGUCCUCUUUAAGUAGCCUAAUUCCAUCCUACUGCAUUUUCAGAGGUAUAGGAAUUGGUGUCUCGAUCAAUUCCACCGCAACGUCGGGGAGAUAGGGUUUGUAACUCGUAACUUUAAUUUGCUUAACUGUGAUUUUGGGGAAGCAAGAUUCACCAUCGUAGCUUUAAUCUGUUCUACUACACCGCUAGGGAAGUAAGAUUCGUUAUCCUGAGUCUGCCCCACUGUAAUCUUUAGGAGGAUAAGAUCUGCUUACUCAGUCUGCUUCGCUGCAACCUCGGGGAGAUAAGAUUUAUUUUAAUCCACUCCACUGCAACUUCAGGGAGAUAGGACUACUGGCUUCAAUCUGCUCCACUACUACUUAGGGAGAUAAGAUCUUCCAUCUUCGAUCUGCUCCACUAUUGCUUAGGGAGAUAAGAUCUGUUUCUUAUGUCUGCUCCGCUGCAACCUCAGGGAGAUAAGACCUGAUGCGAUCUACUCUACAGCAACUUCAGAGAGAUAAGAUCUGUUAUUUUAAUCCGCUCCACUGCCACCUCAGGGAGAUAGGAUUAGUGGCUUCAAUUUACUCCACUGUAAACUCAGGGAGGUAAAAUCCACCAUCUUCGAUCUGCUCGACUACUGUUAGGGAGAUAAGACCCUUUCUUCGGUCUGCUCUGCUGCAACCUCAAGGAGAUAAGACCUGAUGCGAUCUACUUUACUGUAACUUCAGAGAGAUAAGAUCUGUAAUUUUUUUUCAACCUACUCCACUGCUGCUUAGGGAGACAAGACUGGGGUCUUCAAUUUGCUCUACUAUUGCUUAGGGAGAUAAGAUUUGUAAUUUUUCAAUCUAUUCCACUACUGACCAGGGAGAUAGAAUCAACAAUCUUCAACCUAUUCCACUACUGACCAGGGAGAUAGGACCUACAAUCUUCAAUCUAUUCCACUGCUGACCAGGGAGAUAGGACUAGUAUCUUCGAUCUGAUUCGCUGUUAGUAUGGGAAGGCAAGAUCUGUUAUUUUCAACCUGCUCCGCUGUAACCUAGGGAGGCAAGGCUGGUGUCUUUGAUCUACUUCGCUGUCAGUGCAGGAAGGCAAGAUCUGAUCUCUUCACUGAUCUAUUCUCUGGGGAAUAUGACAUGUAUAAUUAACCUAAUUAUGCCUAAUGAUUAGGAUGGCAUGAUCAAAAUGAAUCAAAUGCUCCUAACUAGACAUGUGUGAAUGGUGUUUGCAUGAAUGCAACAUUUUAUUUUUCUAGAGAAUGAUCCCGCUUAGGUUGUCAUUACUCGAAGUUUAUUAAGGCUUUAUCACUGACGUGCUACAUCACCUUCUUGCUUGGCUAGCUUUUCUGAAGAAACAUUUAGUCAAGUUGCCCCUACUGUAAACCUCAAAGUUCAAUCCAUUGGGGUGCAAAAUCUGUAUCAUCAUUCUCCCAUUGUAACCCAAGGGUAGGAAUAUAUGGCUUUUCCUCAAUCCUUUCCCAUCACAAUUCAAGGAUACAGGAUCUAAAUCUUUCUGGUCCCUUACACCAUUCCCAGGGUGUCGUACCAAAGUCUCAUGCUUAAAUGAAGGCAUUCUUUUUCGAGGAAACCUCUUCUUAUUGCCUGGUGAUCAAUGCUUCCUUGUUUAUUUAAGCUUUGUCACCAACUUGACAUCUUGUCAUUUUGUUCAAUCAAUGUUUUUGACAAAAUCCAAAGAGAAAGUCCUAAUUUAGACUCUUCAUUAUCAAAUUUCCAACCUUUAAACUUGGUGGGUUUUAAACAAUAGUCAUGUUUUAGGUUCCUGUAUUAUUUAGAAAAUUCUAGAGUAAUAUGCAAAACUUCCCUUGUGAAAAUUUUAUUAGUCCAUUAAUCAUUAUUCCAAAGCAAUAUGCUUGCAAAAAUAUCAUAACAAUGGAUGAGAAUACAAUUGGUUCUGAGCAUAGCUCGAAAGGAAUAUAUUAUCAAAAAUAGUAAAUAAGGAUAACAAAGAAAUUAAUUGGGAAUGUGUAUCUUGGAAAAGAAUGAAGUAUUCCAAGAACAAAAAAUUCAAUUUAAAUGGUGUGAAAAUUGGGUGCCCAGAUAUCGUAGCUUAAACUUCUCUGUAGAAACUUUCUGAAGACAAUUCUAAGUUUGACAUGUGUUUAGGAGAUCUACAGUACUUUGUAGAUGCCCCAAGAUGUCGCCUAUCCUUUCCUGUUGGUUCAAGUAUAGCAAGAUCAUCAUAUGCCCUAAUCUGAUCAAAAUUUAAGUUGCUUUGAUCACCUCAUCCCCAUUCUGAUCAAUAUUUGAGCAACCCUUUUCGGGUUUUCAACUCAAAUCCCUUUUGGUCACAAGAUGCCCUUUGCGGGUUUUCACCUUGGCCUCUCCAUUUUUUUUCAUUUUUUUUGUAUUUUUUGGACUUAAAGCGCCCUUUACGAGUUUUCACUUUGGUGCUUUUUUUAGGAAUCAAGGCGCCCUUUGCGGGUUUUCACCUUGGUCGCUUCUCCUUCUUCAGGUGAAGUAAUACUUGACUAAAUCUGAGUUUGCAGGAUUUGGCAAGUUUUUAUCAUCUAUCCUACUCAAGAUCAAAGCUUCUCCGGAAAAGGCCUUUGGUAUCUAUUUUCCUCUAAAAUCCUUUUGUGCAGGAAGGAUCCUUCUCAAUAUUAGGUUCCUUUUAUGGAAUUCCCUGAGUGAACCUUUUGGUUGUAGGCUCGCAUCAUUCGCCUUUGAUACAUCUGACUGUGCUGAAUAGCUUUUAGCCUUUUUCCUUUUGAUUAGAUUAGAUCCAUUCUGCUUCAUCUAACUCAUAGCUUAACUAAUAUCUAGAAAAAAAGAAUUUCUACUUCAAUAGGUAAAACUACUUCUAUCCCGUAAACCAAAGAGAAAGGUGUUGCCCCGGUGGAAGUCUUGAUAGAUGUUCGACAAGUAAGGAGGGAAAAUGGUAAUUUCUCAUGCCAACCCUUGUAGGCCUCAGUCACUUUUCCACAAUUCAUUUUUUGGGUGAUACAGUGACGAACUGUGGUGUCUGAUUUUGAAUUGAUUACAAACCUCAGCUAUCAUGCUAUCAUUCAAGUUCAAUGCAUUUUCUAAUACCAUCUUCUCUGGAAUUCUAUAUCGGCAUAUGAUGACGUUGAUGCAUGAAGCAGCCUCUAUCCAUUUGAUGAAGUAAUUAAUGAUCUCAAUAGUGAAGCAAUUCCCAAUAGAAGCCUUCGAUAAUGAUGACGUCUAGGCCCCAUUUUGCUCAAAAUUUGAGUCACCCUUUUCGGGUUUUCAACUCAAAUCCACAUUUGGUCACAAAGCGCCCUUUGUGGGUUUUCGCCUUGGCCUCUCUUGUUCUUUCCUUUUCUUUUUGUUAUUUUCAUUUUUUUGAUUAUGAUUGAUUUUUUUUUUUAAUUUUGACUUUUUUUUAUUUUUGAUUCUGAUUUUUUUUUUGUGAAUUGGAUCUGAACUCAUAGGAUUAGGCAAGUCCUUGUUAUCCUUUUUGAUUAGAACCAAUGUUUUUUUCUCAAUAAAGUCUCCCGCAUAAGAUUCUCCACUUUCAUAUUGUAUGCGAAAAAAUCUUCUUUGGUACCUGAUUUCUUUCAGAAAGCCUUUUGGGGCGAAAUGACGCAAACUUUGGAUCUUCCUUUUCAAUUAGGAUGAAAUCCAACAAAAGUGUAGAGCUAUUGACUUCAAUAGGCAAAGCUAUGAUAAGUCAAAGAGAAAGUCAUUCCCUGUAUUAACCCGAAUGGCCUUCUUUCCCAAAUCUUCGAGGUGCAUCUUUAUCUGAUUGUAUCCAGAGAAGUUAUCUAUGAAGGAAAACAGCAAGUAGCCUGCUGUAUUAUUCGCUAGAGUAUGAAAAGCAAUGAGUUUUGGGACUGGCUUUGUUUAAAUCCCUGUAAUAUAUUCGUAUUUUCCAUCUUUUUAAUGACUUGUACGAUGUUGGCUACCCAUCCUGAAUAUUUGAUCACUUGUAAAAACCCAGUAUCAAACUGCUUUUUUGACUUUUUCUUGUAGCACAAUAUUGGGCCUCAUUCUCCUGAGCUUUUGCUGAGCUGGCUUACAAUGUUAUUUACAGGAAGACCGUAUACCACAGUGUUAGUGUUUAACCCGAGCAUAUCCUGGUAUGAUCAUGUGAAGACAUCUUUGAAUUCUGAGAGCAACUCAAUGAGGUCCCACUUUAUCUUUGUGGUCAUGUCGAUUUCAAUCUUCACCCAGCUCACAAUUUCUAUGAUUCCUUGUGAGGUAGGAUUUGUCUGUCCUCUUGUUCUACCAUCCUCAAUAAGUCUGGAGAUAGGCUACAAUCCCUGUCAUUUUCAAAGUCAUGAAAUCACUCUAAAACAUAUCUCACUCAAAAGGAGAUUCUAAGUUUAUAGCAGCGUCACUCAUGUCAUUGUAUCUGGGGGCCCAUAAUAAGUACCAAAGAAUAUAUAAAAGAAUAUGUGAACUUGUACAAUAUAAUUAUGAAUGAAAGGAUGAUGUGGAAGAAAAUCCAAAAGAAUGAAAGAAUAAUUAUUCAAAAAGAAUGAAAGAAUAUUGGCUCAAAAAUGAAUGCAAAGAUGUAUUUUAUUAGAAUAAUGACAUACAGACAUGAGCCUAUUUCACAAGGGAAUUCCUAUCAUUUUUAGGCUAAAAACCAUAAGAAUGUUUUGAACAUUACUCUAAAUAAGCUUUAAAGACUAUAGGGAUUUCUUCCGCAAUCCAAUUGGUUAGAACACUCUUAAAUUUAUAAGGGCGGACAUCUAACAAGGUCUCUUUUCAUUUGUGUCUUCAUAUAUGUCAUUGAUGUGAACACUUCCCAACACCUCUUCAUACAUUGCAUUCACCCCAUUGUCAAUCAUGAUUGGGUAGCGAAUUUUCUACAUUAGAUGAGUUAUUCAAGUUGACAAUACCCAUGUUGAUGAAUUUUUCAACUAGAAUUUUGAAGGUAAUGGAAUUCUCUAUUGAGUGCCCCGUAAGACCCGCAUGGUAGUCACAUUAUGCGUUCACAUCAUACCACUUGGGAUAUGGAGGUUGUGGAGGUUUUAAGAAGGAAGGGGCAACAACGUGCACAUCGAACAAACUUUGAUAGAGCUCCUUAUACGACAUUAGAAUCGGUGUGAGCUAGAGCUUCUCAAUACCUAGUUUCACUCCAAAUUCUUGCCUUAAUGAACCUUGUCGAUUAGUAACUCCUUUUCCUGGAUGACUUACAGUAACUGAUCUUGAGUAACCUAUGUUAUUCAUCUCAUUUUCUUUUCUCAUUGAGACUGCCUUUUUGUUAUUUUCUUCACCAUCUAUUCUUCCACUUCUGAUGGCAUUUUCAAUUAUUUCACCAUUCAUGAUUAUAUCUGAGAAACUCUUUGAAGCACUUCCCAACAUGUAAGUGAUGAAUGGGACUUUCAGUGUGUUGAUGAAGAGCAUUGUCAUUUCUUUCUCUAGGAAUGGCAGCUGAACUUGGACUACAACCUCUCUCCACCUCUGUGCAUACUGUCUAAAGCUUUCAUUCGAUUUCUUUUCCAAAUUUUGCAAGCUCAUUCUGUAGGAGUCAUUUUUGAUAUGUGACUGUACUGCCUCAUAAGAGCCUGUGCCAAAUCCCUCCAAGAACUAAUUUUGGUUCAGCUCAAUUGAUUAUACCAUUUAGAUGCUACCCCAGUGAGGCUAUCCUAAAAAUAAUGUAUUAGUAGCUGAACAUUGUUAAUAUACCCAAUCAUCCUCCUAUAGAACAUGGUGAUAUGGGUUUUAGGGCAAGUGGUCCCAUUAUAUUUCUCAAAUUAUGGCAUCUUGAACUUAUAAGGAAGUACCAUAUCUGGGACCAAACUCAGACCCUUAGCAUCCAUUUCACGAUAGAUUUCAGUGCUCUCCAGUGCCCUGAAUUUCUUUUCAAUCCAUUUCUUCUUUCCUUAAACUGUUUUGGCAAUUCUUCAUUUGCCUUAUCUUUCUCAGCUGCUUCAUCGAAAUCAGGGAUAGCAAGAUUUAUCGGGUUAUGUCCGGGAUUAGAGCUUGAUCCAGCCUGGAAGGUCAUAGGCACGGAGACACUAGAUUGAAACUGCUGACGCCUGAUUGAAACAGAGGAUCUGCGCGGAUGCACCUCAGCUUGAGCUUGCACAUGCGGAGGAGUACAACCUGGAGAAUAUAGAGGUCCAUCCUUGUCUCCUUCUUCAUCAAUAACCAUAGGGCCCUUCCCUUUAUGUACUCCACUAGUCAGUAAUUGUGUCAGCUUAGUCAUCAUGUCCUUUUGAGACUCCAGUAUCCUUUCUAUCAUGUUAUGUUGAAUUUUUUCUAAUUGCUCCUUCAUUUGCAUCUGUAACUGGUCCUGCAUUUCCUUUUGAAGUCGCUCAAGCUUUUCCAAUCUUUGAUCUAUUUCCUUAGUUUUGCGACGUGUACCGUAAGGGUGUUUGGUUGGUUGAUUUUCCAGAUUAGCUAAAAUGAGUUUACUCAAUUAGACUCUUUCAAUGGAUUUUAAUGCAUAUGAUAUCAUGUAAUGCAGAUGCAUGAAAUGAAUGCCUAAGGAGAUAUUGAUUCUGAUUCAAUUACAUUUAAAAAACUUUACUAGAAAGAAAAUUUCUUUACAUAAAGCGGAUAUAUAUACGGCCUCGCCCUCAUAUUCAAAGAGACAACAUCGAUCCCUUGCUUCAUCCAUACGUUAAAUCUCACUAGUUUCCAAUGAAUGUCUCCAGUAGCUCCUUUUGCUUGAUCCUGGUCGCAAUCUAUUGUCUGCCUAUCCUCGUAAUGCUCACCAGCUUCUUUAGGGAAAUUAGAAUGUCGAAGGCUCUUAGAUGAUCAUCUUGAAUCCUCGGGCCACAAAGCAAAGUCACGAACUCUUGCAUCACCAUUCCUGUGUUUCUUGGAAUAUAUUCAGCCAGUCGUAUUAUUUUCCACUUUAUCAAGGAAUCCGUAUUCCAUGACAAGCUUUCUAAUUUAGUAAUCGGACUUGAAUAAAUAUCUCUUUCCUAAAAUGCAAAUGCAAUGCAAUCAUAAUCAAAACACAACAAGAGGGAUUAGUACAAAACAGAAGCAAACAAGGAAAACAAAAGUACCUAGUCGGGUAACCACUAGGCAUUUGGAAGGGCUCUACCUAGGAUUAGUUCUUAAGGUCUUCUACAUGCGGUUUGGCUCUAAAGUCAAGGUACCCGAACCAGCAGAUUCCUCGAUCUUCACCCAUUAUAGGCUCAUAUAGACCGAGUUCGGUUCAGGGGAAUACAUUUCCCUAUGGCUACACGGAGCUGAAAAUCUCAUAAAGACAUAGGUACGGAUGUAUCCCGAAAGUGAUCGCUUAUCCUGCACGGAGGUGAAAACCUCACGAAGGAGUAGCUUCUCACGCCCACUUAAAAGGGUAAGACCAACAGUCUUUAUGCAAUAUGAUGCAAAAAUAUAGAACUCAAUCCAUAGUAAUCAAUCACAAACAAUGCAAUGAGAGGAUCAUAAUUUUUCAAAUCAAAUUUUUAAUUUUCAAUAAUAAGAUAAAAAAACAAUCAAUUUUACGGCUUGACUCUCUAAGGUCCCUAGUGGAGUCGCCAAGCUGUCAAAACCCUUUUUUUAUGUUUUAAAAUGAGAAUCGAUUUUGAAAAUGGAAAUGGAGUCGCCAUCGAACUUUAUUGAAGGUGUGAUCAGAUCACCUUGAAAAUGAUUUUAGGUCUACAGAUUUUGAGAAAAUAGGUUCGGGAGUCGGUUAAGCACGAGAAAGGGUUAGCACCCUCGUGAUGCCCAAAAAUUGGUACCGAAUUGAUUGCUUAAUGUCUUAGUAUUGAAAUUCUAAAAAGAUUCUAAAAUACGAUCCUUCAAAGUUAAAAUUUGAAUAAACUAAAUUGAAUGAUAAGAUGCACUCAUUUUGAAGAGAUAAAUUGUCACACUCAGUGAGUUAGGGUGCAACAAUUCAAUCGUUAAAAUUAAGUAUGUCCUUUUAAUUUUUAAAAUUUAAAAUUCAUGCAUUUUGAGAAGGUUAUUUGGUCAAAUGAGAAAUCAGAAUCCAGUAAGUUAAGGUUCAAUUUCUCGAAAUUUCUAAACUCCAAAUAUUGCCUUUAUUUGAAAAUCGAGAUAACAAAAUGCCAUAUCCAGUAAGUUAGGACCCAACAUUUUGAAGUCUCAAAACUUUAUUUUAAAGAUUGUAUGGUUUUAAUAAAAUAAACAAUUGGCUAUCUAAAUUCAUCAAGAAGAAUUGAAACCCAGUAAGUUAGGGCACAAUUCUCUUGAGAAUUAUGAACACCAAGCCCUUUUAUUAAAACUUAUGAAAUAAAAGGAUUGUAGUGCUUUAAUAAAAUGUAAUUCUUACAAAUGUAACAUGAUUGAAUGGUGAUGUAAGACGUAAAAGAUAAUAUAUAAUCCAAACACAUACUAAAGAAUAAUGAAUAAAUAAUAAAUUAAUACUGACAAACAUAGCAACAAUAAUCUCAAUUGUACAUUAUGCCAAUAUCAAUAUCAACGUUCAAAAGCUAAUAAAAAAACAAGCCGAUUAAUGCAAAUGCCAACCAAAUGUACAAGUUUUGAAAUAACCAAUAGUAACUUAUCUAAAAGAAAGCUAAAAGACAAUAAUUAUAAUAAUAGGAAAUCAAUAAUAUGUUCCUAAAAUAAAAAAAAUGAAAAUUACGUAUAUAUGAUAGUAUGGUAUGAAAGUAUGAUUGUAACUUUUAGAAUAUAGGAAUAUAAAAGAGAAUUUAAAAAUAAAGAUUAUAAAAACUAUAGCAAUAGAAUAUACAAAUCAUUUUAAGUUAAUCAUAAAAAAUAAAUGUUAAACUUAAGUAAUAAUUGGUGAAAACUUAAAAUUAUAGUAUAUAAUAAAUUUAAAAAUCAACCAUAAGAUGAAUAUAAAUAAUGUUAAUGAUAUUGGUGAUAAAUUAAAAAUAAUAUUAAGCUAAAUCAUAUAGAAAUAUUAGAUUUAAAACUAGGUACAAAAAAAAACUGAAAUAAUAUACAUUCAAUCAAAUAAAAUAAACCCUAAACUAAAAUAAAUUGGAUUUAAAACUAGAAUGGAGGAAAAAUUCAUGAAUAAAAUAGAAUAAAGGAUCCAAUUACGAAGCGUGAAUAGCUCGGAGGGAUUGAAUGUGCAAAUUUCCCUUAGAAGCAAAAUCGCGUGGAUCUGAGAUUGGAUCGGGUCAGUGCACGAGUUUGAGCCUCUAAACGGCGCCGUAUCAUGGCCACUACUCAGGCUCUGAACGACGUCAUUUAUUUCUUCAAAUAAAGGCUAAAUUAAGCCUAAAAUCAACAUAUAUUUGAAACUCACAAAUCAACCCUAAAAAAAAACCUAAUCUCUUCCCCUCCGUGUGCUGUUUCGGACUCAGCCACUCAAAGGCUCUCCGAUCCCAUGCUCGAUCUCCGAUUAUGACGAAGAGGACAAGGAUUUGACUUCUCAAAAAAGGUAAAAUCCUUCACCCUCCUUUCGUUUCCCUUUCUCAAAUAAUAAAUAAAAAGAAAAGAAAAAAAAAGAAUCGAAAAAUGAUAAAAAACGAGAGAAAAAAAACUCGAAGUCACCUUCAAUGUCUGAUUUCUUUCCUUUUCUUAAUUCAUUUUUCUAUUUCAAUGUGAGUAAUAUUUUACAGUGCUCAAAUGGCCUUUUUAUAACCGAAAUCCAUAAAAAUAAAAAUAAAAUCAAUCGAAAUAUAUAUAUUUUUUACAUUUUCAUUUAUUGCUCUCCUAUUUGUUGCGUUGCCUUUUCCUUGCUGUCAUUUUUCCCUUGCUUUCUCUGCUAGUUUGUUACGUCUGUUAUAGGUGCAAGCUGCAAUGGAGGCCUGGUUCGCAUGCAAGCAACGCGCGUGGUGGUGGCUUAGCACGCGCGGAGGCUACCAGGGGAGAACGACGCUAGAAGUUGUUGCUGUCUAGGGUUUUCUAUUUUUCUUGCUUUUGGGCUUGUGGGUUGCAAUUUUGGUAUUAGGUUUGAAUUGGUUUUGUAAUUGGUUAUUGGGCUGGGGUGUAUUAGGCUUAUGGUUUAUUUUAUUGGACUAUUAUUUUACAUUUUAUUUUAUUUUUAUUUUUAUUUAGUUUUAAUAAGCCCGAUAAAAUUGGUUAUUACAGCUGCGUUUUUCUGCUCGUUAUCGUGUAACGGGAACGAAGCAAAGACUUUAAAAAAGGCCAAUUUUGCCCGGUCGUGCUGGACCUUGGUACUCGUCCUCUUUAAGUAGCCUCAUUUCAUCCUACUGCAUCUUCAGAAGUAUAGGAAUUGGUGUCUCGAUCAAUUCCUCCGCAACGUCGGGGAGAUAGGGUUUGUAACUCAUAACUUUAAUUUGCUUAACUGUGAUGUCGGGGAAGCAAGAUUCACCUUCAUAGCUUUAAUCUGUUCUACUACACUGCUAGGGAAGUAAGAUUCGUUACCCUGAGUCUGCCCCACUGCAAUCUUCAGGGGGAUAAGACCUGCUUACUAAGUCUGCUCCGCUGCGACCUCGGGUGAUACGAGUCACAAAGGCCCAGUUCAAGCUCAAGAAUGUGAUGGGCUCAAAUUACCACAAGACCCAAUAACGAGGUCAAAGGCAAGGAAAAUGUGCAUGAAACUAAAUGGAACCGUUCAAGACUUCAUUAGGAAGGCCUUAGAUGUGUACACAAAGGAAAAAGAAAAUCAAGAUUCACUUUCUUGUUUUCAAGAAAAUCAAGAAACCGAAUCUUGGUCCAAUUUUGGUGUUUUGCACGAUUUCAAGAAUCAGGAAAAUCAAGAUUUCAAAUCUUGGAAAUCUUGGCCCAAGAAACUGAAUCUUGUAGCUAAAGCGCAUUGGAUCUCAGCUACGAGCAUCAACGAACCAAUUUCGGGAGGGAACGGAUUACAAGCCCAAGUUCUUGAAGAUAUGGCCCAAUAAGAUGUUCCAAGCCCAACCAAGAAGUUUAAAUUGGACUUAGUUGAAAAUCAGGCCAAAUUGUCAAAGUGGCCCAAUUUGUGAAAUUUUAAUUCUUUAAAUACUUAGUUUUAAUUUUUAGACUUUAUAAAUAAAUUCCUCUGUAAAAAUUAAGCCCAAGAAGCCCAUUAACGGCCUUGGUCGAAUUUCCCUUGAAAAAUCAAUAAUUAGGGUUUUUUUUUAGUUUUCCUAAUAGGGUUAGGAAAAUAGUUAGGAGGCCUAUUUAUAUGGCUUGGCCAGCCACCCUAGAUGACACAUAACAUUGAAAUCAGAUUUUUUAUUGAGUGAAAAAUUCUCUUUGAGUUUUCUCCAAGAAUUCUCUCUUGAGUUUUCUUUACAAAUAGUUUUAACAAUCUUUUUGAUUGUGGGAGCCAUCUUCAGCCUUCUUCUUGCCAUUGUUCUAUAUUGGAGGGAAGAUUAGAGCCGUUUGAAGGGAGUUGUGAAAUCUUUUUGAUUUUAAGGCUUUUUAGGACUUUUUCUUUAUUUUUCUUGCUAUUCAAUCUUCUUAAUUUUCUGCUUGUGUUGAUUUCAUUGAUUAACUUGUUUAAACUCUCUUGUUGCGUUUCCAGCCCCUUGUUCAAUCUUCAAGCAACUGUUAGGCAUCAUUCUUGUCAGCAAGAAAACAUUUUCUAUCCAUAAUUUUCAAUUGACCUUGCCGCCCAAUUAUCCUAUCUCUGAUUCAAUUCGGUUUGCUGAGUUUUUGAAUUAACUUGCUGUUUUGUGUUCAAUUGUUAGAUUCGGCUGAUUGGAUUCUUUCUUGAAGUUCAAUUUCGUGUUCUUGGCUUCCAAGAAUCCCUUAUUAAUAAGUUUUUCGAUUCUUGGUUGAUUGUUUAUUGUUUUGAGGUUUUUGUUUCAGAUCUGGAAUUCUAAGAUUUAAUUUUUCUGUUUCAUUUCAGAUCUAAGCAUCUAAAGCUUUCGUAGGAUUUUCCCGUGACUUAACAACUAGAUCUUGGUCCGCGGGCAACCCCCUAUCAUCGGGGAGAUAAGAUUUAUUUUAAUCCACUCCACUGCAACUUUAAGGAGAUAGGACUACUGUCGUCAAUCUGCUCCACUACUGCUUAGGGAGAUAAGAUCUGCCAUCUUCGAUCUGCUCCACUAUUGCUUAGGGAGAUAAGAUCUGUUUCUUCGUUCUACUCCGCUGCAACCUCACGGAGAUAAGACCUGAUGCGAUCUACUCUACUGCAACUUCAGAGAGAUAAGAUCUGUUAUUUUAAUCCACUCCACUGCAACCUCAGAGAGAUAGGAUUAGUGGCUUUAAUCUACUCUACUGUAACCUAAGGGAGAUAAAAUCCACCAUCUUCGAUCUGCUCCACUACUGCUUAGGGAGAUAAGAUCCGUUUCUUCGGUCUGCUCCGUUGUUACCUCAAGGAGAUAAGACCUAAUGCGAUCUACUCUACUUCAACUUUAGAGAUAUAAGAUCUGUAAUUUUUUUUUCAACCUACUCCACUGCUGCUCAGGGAGACAAGGCUGGGGUCUUCGAUCUGCUCCACUACUGCUUAGAGAGAUAAGAUUUGUAAUUUUUCAAUCUAUUCCACUGCUGACCAGGGAGAUAGAAUUCACAAUCUUUAACCUAUUCCACUGCUGACCAGGGAGAUAAGACCUACAAUCUUCAAUCUAUUCCACUAUUACCCAGGGAGAUAGAAUUCUCAAUCUUCAACCUAUUCCACUGCUGACCAGGGAGAUAGGACUUACAAUCCUCAACCUAUUCCACUGCUUUCCAGGGAGAUAGGACUAGUAUCUUUGAUCUACUUCGCUGUCAGUAUGGGAAGGCAAGAUCUGUUCUUUUCAACCUACUCCGCUGCAACCCAGGGAGGCAAGGCUGGUGUCUUCGAUCUGCUUCGCUGUCAGUGCAGGAAGGCAAGAUCUGCUCUUUUCACUGAUCUAUUCUCUGGGGAACAUGACCGGUAUAAUGAACCUAAUUAUACCUAAUGAUUAGGAUGGCAUGAUCAAAAUGAAUCAAAUGCUCCUAACUAGACAUGUGUGAAUGGUGUUUGCAUGAAUGCAAACUUUUAUUUUUCUCAAGAAUGAUCCGGCUUAGGUUGUCAUUACUCAAAGUUUAUUAAGGCUUUAUCACUGACGUGCUACAACACCUUCUUGCUUGGCUGGCUUUUCUGAAGAAACAUUUAUUCAAGUUGCCCCUACUGUAAACCUCAAAGUUCAAUCCAUUGGGGCACAAAAUAUGUAUCAUCAUUCUCCCACUGUAACCCAAGGGUAGGAAUAAAUGGAUUUUCCUAAAUCCUUUCCUAUCACAAUUCAAGGAUACAAGAUCUAAAUGUUUCUGGUCCCUUACACCAUUCUCAGGGUGUCGUACCAAAGUCUCAUGCUUAAAUAAAGGCUUUCUUUUUCGAGGAAACCUCUUCUUAUUGCCUGGUGAUCAAUGCUUGCUUGUUUAUUUAAGUUUUGUCACCAACCUGACAUCUUCUCAUUUUGGUCAAUCAAUGUUUUUGACAAAAUCCAAAGAGAAAGUCCUAAUUUAGACUCUUCCUUCUCAAAUUUCCAACCUUUAAACUUGGUGCGUUCUAAACAAUAGUCCUGUUUUAGGUUCCUGUAUUAUUUAGAAACUUUUAGAGUAAUAGGCAAAACUUCCCUUGUGAAAAUUUUAUUAGUCCAUUAAUCAUUAUUCCAAUGCAACAUGCUUGCAAAAAUGUCAUAACAAUGGAUGAGAAUACAAUUGGUUCUGAGCAUAGCUCGAAAGGAAUAGAUUAUCAAAAAUAGUAAAUAAGGAUAACAAAGAAAUUGAUUGGGAAUGUGUAUCUUGGAAAAGAAUGAAGUAUUCUAAGAACAACAAAUUCAAUUUAAAUAGUAUGAAAAUAGGGUGCCCCAGAUAUCGCAGCUUGAACUUCUCUGUACAAACUUUCUGAAGACCAUUCUGAGUUUGACAUGUGUUUAGGAGAUUUACAGUACUUCGUCGAUGCCCCAAGAUGUCGCCUACCAUUUCCUGUUGGUUCAAGUAUAGCAAGAUCAUCAUAUGCCCCAAUAUGAUCAAAAUUCAAGUUGCUCUGAUCACCUUAUGCCCCAUUCUGAUCAAUAUUUCAGCUGCCAUUUUCUGGUUUUCAACUCAAACCCCCUUUGGUCUCAAGGUGCCCUUUGUUGGUUUUCACCUUGGCCUCUCCAUUUUCUUUUUCUUUGGUUUAUUUUUUUAUUUUUUGGACUCAAAGCGCCCUUUGCGGGUUUUCACUUUGGUGUUUUUUUAAGGAAUCAAGGCGCCCUUUGUGGGUUUUCACCUUGGUCGCUUCUCCUUCUUCAGGAGAAGUAAUACUUGAAUAAAUCUGAGUUUGCAGGAUUUGGCAAGUUUUUACCAUCUAUCCUACUCAUGAUCAGAGCUUCUCCGAAAAAGGCCUUUGGCAUCUAUUUUCCUCCAAAAUCCUUUUGUGUAGGAAGGAUCCUUCUCAAUAUUAGGUUCCUCUUAUGGAAUUCCCUAAGGUGAACCUUUUGGUUGUAGGCUCGCAUCAUUCACAUUUGAUACAUCUGACUGUGCUGAAUAGCUUUUAGCCUUUUUCCUUUUGAUUAGAUUAGAUCCAUUCUGCUUCAUCUAACUCUUAGCUUAACUAUUAUCCAGAAAAAAAGAAUUUCUACUUCAAUAGGUAAAACUACUUCUAUCCCGUAAACCAAAGAGAAAGGUGUUGCCCCGGUGGAAGUCUUGAUAGAUGUUCGACAAGUAUGGAGGGCAAAUGGUAAUUUCUCAUGCCAACCCUUGUAGGUCUCAAUCACUUUUCCACAAUUCAUUUUUUAGGUGAUACAGUGACGAACUGUGGUUUCUGAUUAUGAAUUGAUUACAGACCUCAGCUAUCAUGCUAUCAUUCAAGUUCAAUGCAUUUUCUAAUACCAUCUUCUCUUGAAUUCUAUAUCGGCAUAUGAAGACGUUGACGCAUAAAGCUGCCUCUAUCCAUUUGAUGAAGUAAUUAAUGAUCUCAACAGUGAAGCAAUGCCUAUUAUAAGCCUUCGAUAAUGAUGACGUCUAUGCCCCAUUUUGCUCAAAAUUUGAGUCGCCCUUUUCGGGUUUUCAACUCAAAUCCACCUUUGGUCACAAAACGCCCUUUGCGGGUUUUCGCCUUGGCCUCUCUUUUUCUUUCCUUUUCUUUUUGUUAUUUUCAUUUUUUUAUUAUGAUUGAUUUUUUUUAAUUUUAACUUUCUUUUUUUAUUUUUGAUUCUGAUUUUUUAUUAGAAUAAUGACGCUCAUACAUGAGCCUAUUUCACAAAGGAAUUCCUAUCAUUUUUAGGCUAAAAAUGACAAUAAUGUUCUGAACAUUACUCUAAAUAAGCUCUAAAGACUAUAGGGAUUUCUUCUGCAAUCCAAUUGCUUAGAACACUCCUAAAU
rnacentral:lncRNA from 1 species